GAGACCCAAGGUAGACCUGCAAGCGUUCGUGGGCCCUAGCGUCUCCCUCUAUCUUAUUUCCCUGUUUCAUUUUUUUUUGUUCAGAAACAGCUUAUUGUAUUUCCUUCAGACUUUGUUUCUAGUGACUCUUAGAUAAUUUGUGACACUGUGACAGCAGGCUCGUGGUAUUAAGGUUUUGAAAGUUGUAAUAGACGUAGUAUUGAGUUAUAAACAUUCUUGACUUCCGUUAAUUUAUUUAAUUCUGUUAUAUCUUAUUAUCAUCUAGUAAUUUUUAAAAAGAAGAAAAAUGAAAGUGUAUUAAUUAUUUAAGGUUUGGCUUGCCUAGCUCCCACUAGUGGGUGUCAUCACGACUUUCGAGGGUAGGAAACCCAGGUCGUAACAUCUACAAAGAAUAUCAGGCCGCGAAGGAGAUGUUUGAUGUUGACAAGGUAAGCCUGGUGCCCACGAUUUUGACAUCAAGGAAUGCGGAUCUAACCAUAAAGGAAGAAAUUAAAUAGCAAUCAUUAAUUCCGGCCUCGGCCAAAUCGGAGGGACAAAGUGUAGACAAGGAGGAGGAUUAUAUUGUCCAAAGAUCAUUCAUAUAUCCUAAUGAUGCCGACACCACCAAAUUGACAAUCGAAGAGUUGGAGCAAGUAAUAUUAAUCGAAAACUAACCGGAUCAAAAGAUAUACCUAGGCACGGGGUUAACCCCUGAGCUUAGGAAAAAACUUAUUGAUUUUCAUAAAGCUAAUGUAGAUAGUUUUACUUGGUCCCAUAUUGACAUAAUAGGGAUCCCACUAGAGGUAACUACUCAUAAGGUGAGCUUGGACCCACAGUUCCACCUAGUUAAGUAGAAGAGGAGGCCACAGUCCGAGAUCAAAUAUGCGUUCAUCAAGGAUGAGGUAUCCAAACUUCUUAAAGUAGGAACCAUCCGGGAAAUUAAUUACCUCGACUAGUUAGCUAACAUAGUGGUAGUGUCUAGAAAGGGAAUACGCCAAGGAUGUGUGUGGAUUACAACGAUCUAAAAAAUGCAUGCCCUAAAGAUUCUUUCCCUUUGCCUAACAUCAAUAUAACGAUCGACACAACGGCCGGGCAUGAGAUACUCAGCUUUCUCAACACCUACUCUGGGUAGAACAAAAUUCGAAUGGACCCGAGGGUCAAGAAAAGACUUCUUUCAUCACUAAGUUUGGCACCUCCUGUUAUAACAUAAUGCCGUUUGGAUUAAAGAACGUUGGUGCCACCUACUAAUGCCUAGUAAACCAGAUGUUCAAAGAACAAAUAAGAAAAUAAUGGAAGUUUAUAUUAAUGAUAUAGUGGCCAAGUCCCUACAAGCAGAGAACCAUUUGAAACAUUUGCAGGAGAUCUUAUACAUACUAAAAAAUGCAACAUGGAGCUAAACCAAGAGAAGUGUGCAUUCGGGGUCUAAUCGGGAAAAUUCCUCGGGUUCAUGGUAUCCAAUGGAAGAAUUGAGAUCAACAACAACAAAAUAAAGUCCAUAUAGGACAUCAUCGUGGGGGAUAAUGUCAAGGCCAUUUAAAAUCUAACUAGACAUAUAACCACCUUGGCUCGGUUCAUCUCAAAGUCCUCGAACAAAAGCCAUUGAUUCUUCUCACUAUUAAUGUAAAAGGAAUAAUAACUUUUCCUGGAACAUGGAAUACCAGCAAGCUUUGGAAGAACUAAAAUAGUACCUAUCGAGUCCCCUCCUACUGUGCACUCUGAAGGCACACAAAAAACUAUAUCUCUACAUUGCGGCUUUUGAGGUAGCAGUAUGUUGUGUCCUAGUCCGCUGGGACAAAUCAAGGUAUCCUCACCUGGAGAAAUAGGCGCUCACUUUUUUAAGAACUUCCAAAAAGAUAAAAUUGUACUUUAAAUGUCAACCCGUAUGUGUUGUGACCUCUUAAUCGCUAAGUAAUAUCAUGCACAAGUCCGAGCUCUUGUGCCGAUUGGCUAAACGAGCCGCAAAAAUUAGUAGGUACAAUAUCGAGUAUUGAUCAUGAACCACCAUAAAAUCUCAAAUUUCGAUAGACUCCGUGGCUGACUUUAUGCCGACCUUAAUACCCAAAGUCAAAAGGGAACUACUGCUAACCUCGAAGACUAUUUUGGGGAUCUGGACCCUCUACAUGGAUGGUGCCUCCUACGCAAAGGGGUUCGAGCUAGUUAUCAUAUUAAAACCACAUACGGGAAAUAUAAUUAAGUAGUAAAUUAGACCUAUGAAAUUGACUAACUAUGAGGCCGAGUAUGAGGCCAUGAUUGCAGGUCUAAAAUUAGCUAAAAGCCUUGGGGAUGAAGUGAUCAAAGCCAAGCGCGAUUCCUUUCUUGUGGUAAAUCAAGUUAACGGAAAGUUCGAAGUAAAAGAAGAAUGGAUGUGAAGGUACUUUGAAAAAUUACAGGUAAUCUUACACCAAUUCAGGGAAUGGACCUUUGCAACAUGUAGCUUGAGAUCAAAACAAUGAGACUGAUGCACUGGCUAACUUGGGGUCGUCGAUCGAUUCCGAUGAAUUCAAUUUGGGAGUAGCAGUGAAACUAAUGAACUCGGUGAAAGAAGAAGGCCACACUAAAGUGAACUCAAUGAGUUUAACUUAGGUUUGGAGAAAACAAUACAUAGAAUACUUGAAGACAGGAAGAUUGCCUUCGGAUCUCAAGGAAUCAAGAGCAUUGCAGCAUUGCGCACCAAAGCUGCUAGAUUUAGCUUGGUCGAAGGGGCAUUGGUCAGGAUGACCUUCUUUUGAACCACUAACCAGAUGUUUGGGACCCUGAGAUACCGAACACUCCAUUAGAGAAGUUCACGAAGGCCCCUGCGAGAACCAUUCUGGGGUAUAAUCCUUGGUUCAAAAACUAAUCAGGGUCGGUUACUACUGGACCAAAAUGGAGAACAAUGCAAACAACUUCAUAUGGAAAUGUGACGAGUGCCUAAGAUAUGCCUCGAUGAUCCAUCAAUCGUGAGGAGGGGCUGGCUGUGUGGUUGCUAUACUAAAAGGAUUGGAAGGUUGCUAUUUUUGGUUACCAGUUCGAGGUCCGUCGUGGUCAAGUUUUAAGCUCGAGCUUGCGGUUUUGGAUUUUUUUUUCAUUUGUAUUGUUGCUGAUUUUCCAUCGAGGUUUGAUGUACAUUCGAUUGGAGACCUUGCAGUAAACAAAUUCCCGAAAAAGUUUUUGUCACUCUAAGGUCCACUCGUAACCCUUUACUUGAAAUCUCUGAUUCUCGUUAAGUGGUAUCGAACUUGAUUGAUGAAACUUUUGCUUAGUUAUCUUAUAUUAUGUAUUAAUUGAUGCUUAGGAUAUUAGUUUAAUAUUCUGGGUUUGGGGCAACGCUAAAUGAAAGCAGAUAUUUAGUCCAUGAAUAACUUCUUUGACUGUAUCUUGUUUAUAUAUGUUGUUUGCUAGUAACAUGCUCUAGGCCGACCACACUUGGGUAGGCAAGCUUAGGAUUUUUGUUAGUUUAAAGGCAAGAGGUCGUUCCAUUAGUUAUAUUUAUCUGGGGUAUGCCUCGAAGGGUUUAUAUAUAUAUUUUAUUCGGGGUAUGCCCCGAAGUAUUUGUAUUUGAAGGCCGACGACGGAACGGUUCAAGGAAGCAUAGAAUAAUACUUCAUUUUUGCUUUUGUUAUUCCUUUAUUAGGUGGGGAUGACCUCAAGCCUCUUGUGUGUUUAUUUUCCUUUUCUAUGUUUUCUACCUCAAUAGAAUAUUUUAAUAGCCAACUAGAUCGAGUACACAACUGUGACCUACACGGGACUUGGGGAGUGCCUAACACCUUCUCCCUGAGUCAAAUGAACCCCCUUACCUGAAUCUCUAGUGGGACUUAGUUUAGAGUUCAAAGUGUUUUGAAAGGAAGAUAAAUAUUUUUAGAAAAAACGGUGACCUAACACACCGAAAUAAAUGUCAAGUGGCGAAUCUGAGUUAGUUUCCUUUUGAAACAAUAUUCGUCACUUUCUAAAUUGAAAACCCUUUUCAAGCUUCUACUAAAUCUUUUUUUUUUAUUUAAGAGGAUUUAGUAGGUUUAGUUAAAAAAAAGGGGUGUGACACAUAUCACUGUCGUUAUAUAUUUGGCACAUCCAUGCCAUUAUUGACUAGCGGCAGUGGCAUAGAUGAGCCAAAUAAAAAUUGAGCUGUUAGUAAAUAAUGGCAUGGAUGAGCCAAAUGAGUAACUGCAGUGGAUGCGGACUUAGUUUUGAGUCCAAGUGUUUUUAAAAGGAAAAUAUUUUCUUAAAGAACGGUGACCUGGCACACCGAAAUCAAAUGUCAGGUGGCAACUCUGAGUUAAUCAUAUUCAAACACAAUUUUUGUCACUUUCAAAAUUGAAAAACCAUUUUCAAGAUAUUAUUAAAUCUUUUUAUUAAUUAGGAGGGUUUAAGUGCAGUUUGUUCUUUAAAAAAGGGUGUGACAUCUGAGGCCUCGGGGUGAGUUCGGAUGGUUAAAUGGAGAGUUUGGAGUUUAUUGCAUGUUUGAAGUUUGUUGCUUCUGUCAAUUCUGCAUCUGCAAAAAAAGGAACCGCAUAGGCGGUUCCGCAGAUGCGGCUAGGUGGUCACUAAAGCGGAAUUGGAGGAGCUUGGCAUUUCCGCAGAAGCGGUCAUCGCAGGUGCGAUUUUAGAUCGCAAAGGACUCCUAGGAAUUUUAGAAGAAACCGCAAAAGCAGUGGGAGAACCGCAGAAGCGGUAACCGCAGAAGCGAAAAUUUGGGUGCUGAAACGUAAAGGCCUGGGCAGAUACUAAGUUAAGUUUUCAUCGCGAAUUUUGAAAGAACAAACAUUUUGGACAUCGGACCAAGAGGGUUUUGGGCGAUUUUUGAAGAGAGUUUCAAGGGCUAUCAUCAGAUAUGGAUUCUUGGACUUAAAUUAUGAUAUUAUGGUGUAUAAACGUGGAUUAACACUGAAAAUCCAUGGUGUAUAAACAUGGAUUAACCCCUGCCAUACGCACUUGGUAAAGCUCAAUUCAUACUAUUCAUGAUCAUUUAUUUUUUCAAAUUAUUGAGGCUCAAGCGUUCGAAAAGGUCUAAGAGAAAGAAGCCAUUGACUUCAUUAGGCAACAUAUAAUGUGUCGAUUUGAGAUACCUGCUGAGAUUGUUUGCGACAACAAAAAAUAAUUUAUCGGCGGCAAGGUGAGUAAGUUUUUCGAAGAUCACAAGAUUAAUAAGAUACUAACGAUGCCUUAUAACCCUAGUGGGAAUGAGCAGGUGGAAUCAACGAACAAGACUAUACUCCAAAACUUGAAAACAGGUUUGAUCGGUUCAAAAGGUAAAUGGACGGAGAUCAUGCCCGAAGUCUUGUGGGCAUACCGUACGACUUCAAAAUCGAGGACCAGGGCCACCUAGUUUUGCUUUGGUCUAUGGAGCCGAAGACUUAAUACCAAUUGAUGUGGUAGAACUGAGCCUCAGGUUCCACUAUUCUACAAAAGAGACAAAUGGCAAAGCCAUGAUCACGAGCCUAGAACUAUUGGAAAAUCGGAAAAGAACUAAAGAAUCUAUGCCUGGUCUUCAGCGAGGCUCGACUCGUCACUAGAAUCAUCGGAGCCUAGGAGACCCUCAGGCUCGUAGAGCUCCUUUGACCUGGACCCAAGUCUCCUAGCUUCUAUAAUCUCGAUCGAUAGGUCAAAACCUAUUCUUAGAGGGCAUCUUUCCAGGAUACCCACUUUAAGUGCUUAGUCUUCGUAUUUAACCGAGUCUCGACUACCACCACAUCGGCUUUAUACUGGGCCAAUAUUUCCUCGACUUAGAAAACGUUGCAUACGAAUUGUACCUCAGUGGAAUAUUCUUGUCUGAGGUUAUUCCCUUCCGUGAUGGCAGAGUGCAACUAUCUUCCUUGGUCACUAGGCAUCAAAUGUAGCUAGCUACGCCUGCCAGAGCAGACAGGACCUGGGCGUCCUUCGGGAUUGGGAGAACGACUAUUUUCUUGCGAUCGGGGUCCAUGCUUGGAUUAGUAAAUUACUUCAGUAGUUUUGGGAUCAAACUUGACCUGCCUACUACAAAUGCACAUCCUUCUUUGGGACUCCAGAUGACCAAGCCCAGAAAAAUACUCUAGUGCAGCCAUAUUCAUGCCGUCGAAGAACGUUUUGAGGGUGUCUUCUGGGCCCUGCACCAUCUCUUUUGACUGUCUUUGCCCGCUUGGACCUCUUCGAGUAUGGACUCGGUAUACUAGGGUGUCUCCAUGAUGUCAAUGACACUGGAUGCCUCCUUCGGGACAGGAGCGGCUUCCCUGGGGGCCACAUCCUCUAUCUCUCCCUCAGGUUCCCAGGUUAGGAGGGGAUCAACCUCAUGGUCCUCUUUCUCCUUCGUUGCUUGUUCCAUCUUGUUAAGGGUCGACCUAUGAGCAAUAAAAAGGUCAUCUUCCUCGGGCUCAUCUCUGAGCGGGUAGAGGGAAUCGGAGUCUGAUACCUUGGACUUGGUGCACUUCCUGGUUUUUCGGACCUAGAUGGUCGCUUUCUUCUUCGUCUUGGCAUCUAGGGAACCCGAGGUUUGCCUCCGACUAUCCUGAAGUUGGGGGUUCAGCAUGCAAGGAUGGAUCUUGGUCCUCACCCAACAGUUUGAGUUCGGUGUUCUUUGGCAAACCUGUAAGAAAGAAGGAAAUUUAGUAAUACGUAAGCUAAAAGUAACUAUUCCGAAAAGGGCCUCACCAUGGUAAUGGGCCUCCUAUUUUCCCUUCGAGAGCUUGUGCCGUGCGCGCUCAGAAUUUUGCAUGUGUUUGUAGAGCCCCCUGAAUCCACUCCUUGAAGCAGGCAACUCCAAUAGGAACUUGGGCAACAGUUGUACGGCGAUAAACAUAGGCAACAAAAGAAUUGACAAAUACUCGAGAAUGAAAGUUUUUAGGGGAUGUGUACCACUUUAUGGGGAACGAGAGAAACUCGGAAGGGAUGAGGACUUCAAUUUUCACCAGAAUGAACCUCCUGCGCCAUCCUCGAUCUUGGUCCUCGUCGAUGCUUGAGAAUUGAGCCUUGCUUGUUCAGUGGACGAUCUUGAUCAACCCCCUUCGGAAGAUUCGGAGACUAUAUAGGUGAAGUAGGUGGUCAAGGGUGAACCAAGGGGAUACAGUAUUGUUCAUGAAAUGGCAUAAGAGGAACACGAUCCUCCAAAAGGAUGUGUUUAUUUCCUCUAGUCACACCUCGUACCUUUUCAAAAAAAAAUAAGGACUAUGGGGUAUACCAAGGCUAGCAUGAAAGGGUAAGUAUAAAUACUUAAAUACCCCUCCACAUUAAUAGUGAUGUUGUCAUUGGGCCCGAACAACCACAUCUUUACCUUUCCAGUUACAGUACACUCGGACUUUUGGUAGAGUUUCCUUAGUGACGGAGCAUAUAUAUCUCCUUGCUCCCUCGCCUCGGUCCUGUUGACCAGAAGCUUUAUCCACCUCGAAUUCGUUCCCGACGGAGAAACCCCCAAGUACAAAGCUCUUCAUGAGGAGCUUCUGAGCCACCCCGGCAUCUAUGGCCAGGUGGAAAGAUGAAGGAGCAACCUACUGAGACACUGACUUGGAGGUUUUUCCAUCUUUAUCUGGAAAAUCUGAAGGUUUGAAGAAAAAUAUGAGGAUUUGAAAAUGGGUAUAAAGGUAGGAAGGUGUGGGUUGAAGAUCCAAAGAAAAUGUAUAAGGAUUGAAGAUGAAGAUAUGAAGGUUCAACGAGCAAUGUAUGAAGAUCUAGGGGAGAUAAAAACAAUUAUAGUAUUCAAGACUAAAUUCUAGAAUCGAAAAGUGGAAGAAGUGAAAAAGGGUUGAAGCUUUUAUAGAGGAAAAACAAUCAGCUUCCGGCAUCUCGCAUUCGAGGAUAGUCAACCGGUGAUUGACACGUGUCUUAAGUCGGAACAACGUGACUGAUAGGGCGUUUCGAAUUACCCAUCAUUUCGAUUGUAACAUACAAAGGAAGGAACCAGGGUUUAUCACUUCCGGUUGUUACGGUAAAUCUAAUCUCCGCAAAACGAGUGGACUAUCUGUGUACAGGUAAAAUAAAGGGUAAUAUCUACCUCGAUUACCUGGUAAGAAAACAUAAGGAUACGGAUGCACGAAAUCGUAAUCGAGGUUAGAGACCCCUCGUAUCGAAAUCAAGGAAGAGUGAACAACAUGCUCGUCAUUGGGUAUGAUAAAAUGGCGCGCCCUGGGCCAAGAAUGAGUUCUAAGACCACGAGAAACACAGUGAACGAUUACACAUGAUGGAUUUGAGACCGUGAUAUUCGAACCCGACCGGAUAUCACGGUGCUGAUCUCAUUUGGUGUCGGUAAUGAAUCAGUAAUUAACGAUAAAGAAAGAAUUUUAACUUUUUUAGACUUAUACUAGAGAUGAAACUGUCAUACUAUAUAAAGAGAAAGUUUUUCUUUUGUAACACACAUUGUAACACGCAAAUCAAAGCAAGACAAAUUUAUUCUGCAUUUUAGCUACUACUAAAGUUCUUAUUUAAUUGUUCUAUUCUUCAUUCACAACUGGACUCGAACCAAGGGUCCAAUCAAGGAUGAGGUCACUAUUCAACUUACGUUCGAGCUAUGUCAUAGCAUUACAAUUGGUUUAAUUAUUUAUUUCGUCUUUAACUUAUUUAUUCAAUAUUCUAUAUUAUUUAUGUUGAAUCAAAUUUUAAAACUAUGUAUAUAUUUAAUUUAUCUGAUUUAGUUGUAAACAUUCGGCUCUGGCAUUUGCUACGAUUGAGCCAUGCAAACGAACAACAUAUCUAAAUUUAUCCCUAAACUGUCAAAUUUGGUGGGCAAAUUAAUUAAUUCGCGCGCAACCAAUGUCUUCAAGACUCAAUAACUUAAACUAUCCUUUAUUAGCCGCUAUUGCAAAUCUUACAACUCACAAGUAUCUAUGACAACCUGGCUGCUGCUUUCUGCCACAAGGACUUGAAUCAUCCAUAUGACAAAAUACCAAUUGAAUUUGAACAUCUCCCAGCAAAUAGUUAAACUGUCAUUUUCCUGGUGCUCUAGACGUUUUAUCAAAAGUAAUUUACACAACCAAAAUGAAUUAGAAUUGCUUCAAAGACCGACAAAAGUAACCAAUGAAAAGCUACUGCGUGUGCUUAUGGUGACUGCACAUAUAAAGAUUAUUCACACUGAAAUAUCAUUUUUGGCUCGAAUUAAUUGCUAUUUGGUGAACAUAUAUAAUGGAUAUUUCUAGAAAGAAAUGUUUGAACAUAAUGGUUGAAACCACAUGUCAAUAUCAACGCCCACUACAAGCUCCAGCUAUUCAAUGGAAUUUCCCAUGUGUUGCACUUGGAAUUUACGUUGCUUUUGCUUUUUCAGUUUAAGGCCCACAGACAAUAAAGUUCCAGAAGGACAAGUUGCACAAGGCAAGUAUAUAUUUUAUAAGCAUAUCCCCCUUGUAAGGAAGCCAAUUAAAAGUGAUUCAAAGCAACUUUGAUGGAAGACCCAUAUGAGCUGGACGCCCCUUUUCCCUAACACUUCUCCCCUGUCAACCCCCUAAUCAUGUCCUCUAAUAAGUUACUAUCCACACUAAGUAUAUUUAAGGAAAAAUAACGUAACAAUUACAUAAUUAUUAAAUUCUACUGUAUACUUGUGAGAUCGAGCACGUUAACCAACUUUAUUCUCGAUAAAGUUAGCUGAGCAGAGACGUGACCAUAAGAAACUGGAAUCGGAGCAAGGAAUCCCUCGAGUCGGGGUCCGGCCAAAACACUUUCCCCCGGAGGAAUCAGGGUCAUAUCCCCCUGGACCGAUUCUAAUCCAGAACUUCAGAGAAUAUUACCAUAUAAUCAAGCAUGACUAACAAAGGAUUGUGAUAUUUGUACUCGACCGAAUGUCACGGCAUGAAUCUCAGCACGUAUCGGCAGAAAAUUAGUAAUUAGUAAAAUGAAAGACUUUUACAUUUUAUGAAAUUAUACUCAGAGUAAAACACCAGUACUAUAUAAAGGGGAGUCUAACUAUUCAUUAGACCAUUGUAACAUUUAUACCAAGGCAAUAUACUCUUAUUUUCUUUGCUAUUCAAAGUUCUUACUUUUGUUCAUCAGUUCUUCAUAAUUACGAGCCCGAGAUCAAAAGCAGGCAUUACAUUAAAGUUGUUACUGAAUUCGGCUCACGCUCCAUGAUUGGUUUGAUAAUUUGUUACGCCCAUUAUCUGUUUAAUCUAAAGCAAUUUAUCAGUUGUAUUGAAUUAACCAGUUUAUCUUUAAAACCAAUUAAAAAUUUAAUAAUUAUUCAUUAUUUAGGGUAAACACUUGACACCCACCGUGGGGAUAAGGAUAAUAGUGUCAAUUUGGCAUAAAUGUCCAUAAUGCACUCUGCUUUACUCUUGUUCUUUGAGAUUUAAUUUCAGGCUAAAUCAAGAAUGUCAGAAUCUCAAUCUGCUCACUUGAACGUUGAUGCUAAAUCUAGUGGCAAGAACAACAAUGUAGUGCCCAGCAACGGGGUCCUCCAUGUUGACCCCAAAGGAGGCCCAAUCCCGACCCUAUCGACGCCAACUCCCAUGUGGCCAUCGACGCUGACUUGCCUACUGACCUAGAGAACAACGUCCAUGGAGGAGCUAGGUCGGUAGCCAGGAAACACAUGAUGGUGAAGGCGAUGGGAUCAACUUACGAAUAAUUUUUAAAAUGUUACUAGCUCAACAAGUGGCAAUAGACCAGUUACAGAACCAAAGCCACUCUCCCAAUAGAAUCGAGCCCAACCUAUCCCCGGAGAACACCUGAAGAAAUGAUCGAACCUUGGAAGAGCUAGGUGAAGCUGAAGCCGGAGCCAGCCCUGAAGUAAUAAAGUUGCUCGAAGAACUAGUAAAACGGGUAGAAUCGGGGGAAAAGAAGCGUGAAGACAACGAUAAAAAACUAAAGACCUAUAACUCCAGGGUUAACCAGUUCCCAAGAGCACCUCCAAUAUUGAAAGGCCUGGAUUCCAAAAAAAAUUCCAAAAGCCUUUUCCUCCGAGCACGGCUCCGAAACCAAUUACAAAGAAGUUCUCUAUGCCCGAAAUUUCGAAGUACGGUGGAACAACUGAUCAAAAAGAAAUAUGUGACCUCCUAUAUGUUCCAUCAAAGGGAACGACUUAGAAGGUGAUGAAAUUGAUUUGUUCUACUGAAAAAAUUUGGAGAGACCUUGUAAAAAGGAGCUAUGAUAUGGUAUCACAACUUACCCCCUAAUUCUAUCGAUUCGUUUGCUAUGCUUGCAGAUUUCUUUGUAAAGGCGCACGUCGGGGCCAUCAAGCCUGGAAGUCAGACUUUUUAAUAGUAAAGCAAAGGGAUAAUGAGAUGAUCGGGGAGUUCGUGUUUAGGUUUCCAACAAAACGAAUGGAUCUACCUCCGGUCGCGAUAAUUGGGUCGUUCAUGCAUUUACCCAAGGACUUAACCCCUAAAGCUCAUUGGCUUCGCAACAGUUGAAAAAAAACUUGGUAGAAUACCUGGCCAUAACUUGGGCUGGCGUCCAUAACAGGUACCAAUCAAAAGUCAGAGUCAAAGACAAUCAGCUCGAGACCCCUUCUAGGUCCGUAUAUCCCGUCAGAACUAGUGAUUGGUCCAAAAGAACUGUCGAUCAUGAACCAAGAUCGAACAGAGAUCGAUAUCAACCUUAUAACGAAAAUUAAAGGAGUAAUGGGUCUGGACGCAAUCCUGCAAUGAGUGAAAAAAGGAAUGAUCGAGGCCACAAUAAUCAAGAAUCAUGAGUAACAACGGUUUCGACAGGCUACUCAAGGCAGGGAGGAACCGAGAUUAUCGGAGUACAACUUCAGUAACAAUUCCACCAGCAUCGUAUCCGACAUUGAAUGCAUCAAAGACACUAAGUAUCCUCGACCAUUGCAGUAUGAUCCUGCCCAAAGGGACCCCAAACUAAUGUGUAAAUAUCAUGGAACUCAAGGCCACAAAGCCGAAGACUAUGGACAACUGAGAGAAGAAAUAGCCCGGUUUAUUCAACAACGGACACCUCCGAGAAUUUCUGAGUGAUCGAGCCAAAAAUUACUUUGGGAAUAGGGACUCCACAAGAAGAUCGAGUAAGAGGAGUCUCAGCAUGUCAUUAACAUAAUCAUUGGUGGAGUUGACGUCCCCAAGGGCUGAUGUCAAAACAAACUUAAGUAUCCAUUACAAAGGAAAAUGGACUAGAGAUUAUGUAUCAGUGGGAAUUGUAUCUUUCAACAAUGAGGACACUAAAGGCAUUAUGCAACCACACAUUGAUGCACUGGUAAUAUCUGGACUCAUAAGUAAAUCUCGAGUUAAGCGUGUGUUAAUUGAUCCAGGUAGCUCCACCAAUAUCAACAGAUCGAGGGUCGUGAAGCAGCUGGGUCUACAAGACCAAAUAAUGCCUACAAUAUGAGUUUUAAACGAAUUCAACAUGGCAUGCGAGAACGCUAAAUGGAAGAUAACCCAGCCGGUAAACGCAACAAAGUUCUACGUGAUCGAAGGAGAUAUGAGAUGCAAAGGCUUACUGGUGUAUAGCCCCCCUGGAUCAGUUCACUUCAAGGUCCUCCAAUAAGAUUCAUUAGUUAUUCUCAUUAUUGAGGGAUAAGAAUAACUUCUCAUGAACCCCGAAGUUUCAGCAAAUUUUGAAGAACUAAAAUGGUACCUUUUUAGUCCACCUUUGUUUUAUAUUCAUAAGGCAGACGAGCGGUUGUACUUGUACUUGGCAGUAUCCGAGACUAUGGUAAGUGGAGUCUUAGUCUAGGAAGAAGAAUGUACGUACGCAUUUUCCUAUAUAUUAUGUUAGCAGGAUUCUAGGCGACGCUGAAACAAGAUAUCUUCACUUGGAGAAAUUGGCGCUCUAUUUCCUAAAUGUCUAGGAAGUUAAGGCCAUAUUUUCAGUGCCAUCCCAUAUGUGACGUGACUACUUAUCAUUUAAGGAACAUAAUGCACAAACCCGAGCUCUUGGGGUAAUUGAACAGAUAGGCCAUGGAAAUUAGCAGGUAUGAUAUUGAAUAUCCCUAGAACCGCUAUCAAAUCUAAAUUUUUGGUAGACUUCGUGGCCGACUUCACCCCUGCCUUAAUACCCAAGGUCAAAAGAGACUUGUUGUUAACUUUGAGAACCUCUUCAGGGAUUUGGACCCUCUUUGCGGAUAGUUCCUCGAACGCAAUGGGGUUCAAACUCUGUAUCGUGUUAAAGCAGCCUUAGGUGGCGUUGUUAGGUAAUCUAUUAGAACUGUGAAAUUGACUAACAAUGAGGGCGAGUAUGAGGCCAUGAUUGCAGGUCUUGAAUUGGCUAAAAGCCUGGUGGCCAAAGCGAUCGAAGCUAAAUGCGAUUCCCUCCUUAUGGUGAAUUAAGGCCAUGGGACAUUCGAAGUAAAGGAUGAACGAAUGUAAAGAUUCUUGGAUAAACUACAGGAAACUCUACGUCAAUUCAAGGAAUGGACCCUACAACACGUGCCACGAGAUCAAAAUAGUGAAGCCGAUGCUCUGGCUAACUUGAGGUUGUCGAUUGAUGAUGAUAAAUUCAGCUCAGGAACGAGCGUACAACUCAUGAAAUUGGUAGCAGAAGAAGACCAGGCCGAGAUAAACUUGACAAGCUUAACUUAGGACUGGAGAACAAGUAUAUAAAUUACUUGAAGGCCGAGAAGCUUGCCCUCAGAUUCUAAAGAAUUAAUGGCUCUAAGCACAAAGGCGGACGUGUUUAGCUUGUCCGAAGACAAUACCUUGUUCAGAAGAAUGUUCGAUAGCCCUCUCGCAAUAUGUUUGGGACCGGGAGACACCGAAUAUUUUUUAGGGAAGUUCACGAAGGUACUUGCGAGAACCAUUCAGGGGCAGAAUAGUUGGUUUGUAAGAUAAUCAGGGACGGCUAUUACUGGAUCGACAUGGAUAAAUAUACAAAGGAGUUCGUAAGAAAAUACGACGGUUGUCAGAGGCACACACCAAUGAUCCAUCAUAUUGGGGAGCUACUACAUUCGAUAUUGUCACUUUGGCCAUUCAUGAAAUGAGAAUGGACAUCGUCGGUCCCCUACCAUGGGCAUUCAAUAAGGCUUAAUUUAUAUUAUUUAUGGCUGCUUAUUUUUCUAAAUGGGUUGAACCUCAGGCAUUUGAGAAAUUCAGACAAAAAAAGCUAUUGAUUUUAUUUGGGACUAUAUAAUAUAUCGGUUCGUGAUAUUGGCCAAAAUUGUAUGCGACAACGGGAAGCAGUUCAUUGGAAGCAAGUAAGCAAAUAUUUCUAGGAUUAUAAGAUCAAAAAAUGAUAUUAUCAGCAGCUUAGUGGAAAUGGGCAGCGGAGUCUACAAAGAAAACCAUACUCCAAAACCAUAAGAAAAGGUCGAUCGAUGCCAAAGGAAAAUGAAAGAAAAUUUUACCCAAAGUCCCGUGGGCAUACCAUACGACCUCAAAGUCUAGUACUAGGGCCACCCUAUUUUUGUUGGUCUACGGUUCCUAAGAACUAAUUCCAAUCGAGGUAGGAGAAACGAGUCUUAGGUUCUGAUAUGUGAUCAUAAGUCAAACGGUGAGGCCAUGAGCAUGAGCCCGGAACUAUUGGAUGAAAGGCGCGAGGCCAUACUCGUCCAGUUGACCCCCUAGAAACAGCAGAUCAAAAGGUAAUUAUGUUGCGGCCAAAACGCACACGCAAGUAUAUACGAUCAUCAAGUAAUAUAGUGACUAAAAGUCGGAUCUCUAUCCCACGAGGAUUUGUGAUUAACUAUUAACUAAAUUAGACUAUCCUAAUUAUCUAUAUAAGAAUUAAACUUAGAAGUAUUUGAUUCUAGACUAAUUAAAAUAAAUAAUGAACUUUGAACAAAGAAAGAGCAUAUUUUUAUGAUAUCAAUGUAAUGAAAAGGAUCUACGGUUAUGGGCUAUCUAACAUUCCUAUUGUAUUCUUCAAUUGAAUUGACUAACUAAUUUAUCUAGUUUAUUGUUUGACAAGGUUAAUAUCUCUCAUAGGAAUCUAUCGAGUCCUUACUCGCAUAUUCAAGUUAACCUAACGCCUAUGUAUCUAUGGAGUUAGAAUCAACAAGCACGCAUUCAUAAUUCCUGUAAAUCAACCAAGCAAGGCAAUUAGGUAUAUGUCUAUCAUAACCACUAAUUCGUUUCCUGAUGCCCAGGUUCAAUAACUUGCUCUACUCAAUCCUAUAUGCAAUCUAGAAUUUCUACUUUCGAUUUCAACUCUAGAUUCGUAGAUAGUAUUCAAUUAAUGAUCAAGAAAUCAAAUAAUUAAGUGCAGGAUUGAAUAAAUAAACCAAUAUGAUAAACUAAGAAAUCAAAAUCAAUAUCCAAAUAAUAAUAAUUAUGAAAGAACCACCAGGAUUGAAUAAAUAAACCAAUAUGAUAAACUAAGAAAUCAAAAUCAAUAUCUAAAUAACAAUAGUCACGAAAGAACCACAACCCUAGAACGCGAAGUUUAGCUCCACAUAGACAUGGAAGCAAAACAACAAAUCAUACAAAGAAACAUAAAAAUUACUAAGCUCGGAUACAGAAAUGAUGAAACCCGGCCUCCACGGCGGCUCUGUGCUUGUGUUUUCCUAUCAAAGACGUCCUCCUCCCUUCAAAAUAUCGUUUUUCUAUAUAUAUAUACCAAGUAGGGUUGGGAUCAAACAAUUAUACCUUCUCCAAAGUAGAAAAUGACACUUUUCCCAGGUUGGACUAGCACAGUCGCGCACCUGGGCACGCAUCUGGGCGUGGUAGUUGGAUAACGUUCUGUAUUGGGCGUGCUAAAAGUAGCACGGGCGUGCAUCUGGGCGCACAUUUUUCACCCUGUUUAAUUUCGAAUUUGGAAAAACAUAAAACAUGAAAGUUGUAUCCCUUUGCGUUAGCUUUCUAACCAUAUAUAGUGGAGCCCAUAUAGAGUUCUGAGCAAAACUUUAUAUCUAUUUUACUAGACAGUAUGCAAUAUGCCCACUAGAUUCUUCGUUCGCUCUAACUAUCAUCCGUUGACCCCCAAAUAUGAUCCCAGCUUACUUCCUUAAACAUUUACUCAAACUUUAAAGCUUCAAAUCACUUGAAUUCAUUUCAUAGCAUUUACAUAGUUCGGAAUCACUCCUACAAGGCUUAAAAAAUACCAUUAGUACAAAACACUAGCUAUUAAGGCUCAAACUCAAUUAAAAUGCAGUAAAUUAGAGAAUAAUAAGCGACUAAAAUACAUAAUUAUAGGCUAUCAUUACAACCUCACACUUAAAUGUUGCUCGUUCUCGAGUCAACCAACACCUUACUCUGUCUUUGAGCACUUAACAUCUUAACACAUUUGGAGCACACUACCCCAAUUACCAUGGUUGAUAGCAACAAUUAAACUCUAGCAUAUGCAACUAUUCCCUUUUAAUCAUAUUAUUCUUUAAAAUUAUUUACAACAAAGAAAACAUUAUCACAAUAAUUCUAGCCUCAAAAACUGACUCAAUGUCAUGAUGCACUCAUGACUUGAAUACCCAACGUCGUAGAGAAGUCUAAUAACAUUACCUAUCCCUCAUGGAACCAUGUGCCCUCACAACAAGAACAAGAGAAUACGUUGAACCCACACCAAACCUCAUGAUCAAAUAUAGUUUAAAGACUCAUAUAUAUAUAUCAAAGAACUUUCUCUCUCUCUCUCUCUCACACACACACACAAAAGAAGUCACAUACAUGCAUUUGGUAUCAUAGGCUUGCCCAUAAUGUUAAUCUCUAUAAUGUAGGCUCCCUCGAUCUAAAAUUAAUUAGGACUUUUUCAUGGUUGUAAUAUGGGCUAAGGAACCGGUAGGAUAUAUUUGGGAACAAUGACUAACCCUCCUAAGCACUUUAUCACACCACAUAAUCAACUUUAAGCGCAAAUGCUUCAAUCCACUUCACUUUCACACAUAAUAUCACCCCAAAAUUGCUCCUUUCUGAUUUAAGCACUAUAUUAAUUCAUAUCUACUAGCAGGAAUAAGACAACAAUGUAUUCAUCUUUAUUUUUUUCCUUUAGAUUAUUCUUUUUUUUUUCAAUUUUCGCUAGUGGUGUAUUAUUUUAAAAGAACAAGUGCACCUUUCUUCCUUUUAUUGGUUCCACUAAAAAGUCACCCCACACUUAGUUCCUUCUUACUUCUUUCAACGCCCAUCUCACAAUUUAAGUGCUUUAAGAGAUAAAAGAAUCAAAACAAUGUCAAUUAAGAACAAAAAGGGUAUGUGCUUGUAAUGUGGGUGCCAAAUAAAAGUCUAUAGGCUCAAAAGGGUUAAUUAGGGAUAGAUUUUAUUUGUGAUAAGCAAUUAAGCUCAAAAAGAUCAAAGAAAGCCUAAAAUCAUUUUUCAAUCCGAGUAUCACCACAAAUUUUGCUUCAACGCACAUAUUGGGCAAGUUCUAGACUCAAGUACAAAACAACUCAAAAAAAAUCAAAGAAAGCCUAAAAUCACUUUUCAAACCUAACAUCACCUAAAAUUUCGCUUCAACUCACCUACCGGGGAAGUUCUAGACACAAGUACAAUGCAUAGACUAUACAAAACCUCAUCACAUAUGGCGCAUGACUCACUAAGAUUAGUUACAUUUCGACUCUCAAACAUAUGCAGGUAUUUACGGAGUCAUGAGAUACUAAGCAUUAAGCACAAUGUGAAAAUAAGUCAAGAAAAUGAGAUAUAGGCGUCGCAAAAUAUUCUAUCCAAUUUAUAUGGCAUCACUAAUAAUUUCAAAUCAUAGGAAAGAUACUACACAUGUCAAAGCCUAUAUAUGUUGCUAUCAAACAAGUCAAUGGCGCCUAGGUUUAUCAUUCUUCCUCCUUUUAUUCCCUAGAUUCUAAUCUACUCUAAAAGAAAAAAAUACUACUAUCUGGUUCAAACUACAUCCCAUGGAAUAGAACUUUUGCACAAAGAAAAACCAUGGGGGAUUAUUGCUACCUUAAAAAAAAUAAAAGACGCAUUUUAGGAUUGUUUUCUAUUUUUCACCCUUUUUUUCAAUUUUUUAUUGGACCUUAAUCCCUCAAGAAAAUUGUCCACAAAAUCCAUCAUCGGAAAAAGUCCAUGUUUUUUUUUUUUUUUUUAAACCACUACAACUAAACUAAGAUAACAUAGAAAAUCACCAAGACAAUAUCCUCACCCCAUACUUAAAAUUGUGCAAUGUCCUCAAUGCAUACUGAACAUAACAAGAGGGUAAAAGAAACUCCCUGGUAGGCCAAAGGCCAAAGAAUUAGAAGCUCACGGGAUACUCAGACUUCUCCCAGGUAUAACCCUUUGUGCGGGUACCUCACACUUAGUUUAAACUAGCUGCUCGCUUUUACACAUGCCUUUUGGCUCUAAAUUCAUGCUCCAACUCCUACAAAACACAAAAACAAAACAACAAAAAAUAACACAAUAAAAAAAGUUAAGCACAAUAAAAAAAAAAUUGGUUUGCCUCCCAACAAGCGCUUGAUUUAACGUCGCGGCACGACGCCAACACUUUCAUUACUUUUCCUUCCACUUUGAGGAUAUAAAUUGCGCCCCCCCAUUUUGCUUCGUCCUUUAUAUUACGUUCCUGGGCGGUGGUGUAAAAAUAAAGAAACCAAGUAAUAGGUAUCGCAUCUUCCACUUCCUAGCCUUUAAGUGAGGAAUGUCAUUUGCCCCUAAUUUUGCAUCAUCCUUUGUAUCACGUUCCUGGGGUGGUGGUGUAAAAAUAAAGAAACCAAGUAAUAGGUAUCGCAUCUUGCACUUCUUAGUCUUUAAGUGAGGAAUGUCGUUUUGUCUCCUUGGUGUGGCAAAUUUCAGAAUAUAAACACUUUGUUCCUCAUCUAUUGAGUCCUCCAUAUGCUCAAAUGGAUCAAUUUCCAUGUCACCAACCAAACACAAUGCUAAAAAGUGUUUAGAAUGAGGUCCAAUACGUUUUAACUCCAAAAUUGUAUUAUUUUUGACAUCCUUAAUUUUGAGCUCUUCGACAAUGGCAUCAUUAAUAAUAUUUUGGUCAAAUCUAUUGAAUCCUCCAUAUGCUCGAAUGGAUUAAUUUCCAAGUCACCAACCAAACACAAUGUUGAAAAGUGUUUAGAAUGAGGACCAAAACGCUCUAACUUCAAAAUUGUAUUAUUUUUUACAUCCUCAAUUUUGAGCUCUUCGACCUUGGCAUCAUUAAUAAUAUUUUGGUCGAAUAGUUGGUCCUAUUUCCACUCCUCAAGAUGGCCAGUAUCCACAACAAUUGGUUGUAGGACAUUAGACGCCUCAACCAUUUUAUUCAAUUGAUCAUGCAGGCCAUGGAUAUCUAAGCAACAUUGGUCUAUCUCUUGCCUAAGCUCAGUUCUUCCUUCUAUCAGUUGUUCUGUCAUAUUUGAAAGACCAUCGCGGAGAAAAUCAUGAGAUUUUAUAAGUUGACCUUGUUCCUCUAGCAACAUUGGCUCACUAUAUAUGCUUCUUCAAAAUUAUUUUCUUGUAGGAAUUCGUUCUUUUCAGCUACUCCCUCCACCUCGACCUUCAUUCUCAAGAUUUCUGCACUGAUUCUUUGUGCAGCCUUUCAAAUUUCAUCUUGUUGUUUGACUACUUGCCUCAUCAUGUCCAUAAUAUGAGCCACGCUUUCCAUAUCCUCCACUUCCUUGCUUAUAUCAAACUCAUAAACAUUAUUAGAAAUAAUAUAAUAAGAAAUCUGAGAAGGAUAAUAAUAAUUAGGACAACCAUCCCAAUAAUCAUCUUGACCACCACAUAUAUUACAAAUAUUCCACUCAAAGGAUUGAGAUUUUGUGCACAACUUGCUCCCGGGAACAUUCUGACAAUUUUUCCACUAGUGAGGUCCUCCAUAAUAUGGACAAGGAUCAUCAUGAUAAGAAUAACCAAUAUUCGACCAAUUCUCAUUCCAAGAUGUCAUGUCAACAGAGAUAAUAAAAUAUUAAACUAAGAUUAAAAAAUAAAAAACUUGAAUAGGCAAAAAGUAAAAAUCUAAUCUAGUAGAAUAGUUAAUUUCCAAGUCUCCGGCUACGGUGCCAAACAAUUGUUGCGGCCAAAACGCACACGCAAGUGUACGCGGUCAUCAAGUAAUAAAGUGAUUAAAAGUCGGAUGUCGAUCCCACGAGGACUUGUGAUUAACUAUUAACUAAAUUAAAUUAUCCUAAUUAUUUAUACAAGAAUUAAACCUAGAAGUAUUUGAUUCUAAACUAAUUAAAAUAAAUAAUAACAAAUAAUGAACUUUGAACAGAGAAAGAGCAUAUUUUUAUGAUAUCAAUGUAAUGAAAACGAUCUAGGGUUAUGGGUUAUCUAACAUUCCUAUUGUAUUCUNNNNNNNNNNNNNNNNNNNNNNNNNNNNNNNNNNNNNNNNNNNNNNNNNNNNNNNNNNNNNNCAUUCCUAUUGUAUUCUUCAAUUGAAUUGACUAACUAAUUUAUCUAGUUUAUUAGUUGACAGGGUUAAUAUUGCUCAUAAGAAUCUGUCGAGUCCUUGCUUGCCUAUUUAAGCUAACCUAACGCCUAUAUGUUUAUGGAGUUAGAAUCUACAAGAACGUAUUUUUAAUUCAUGUAAAUCAACCAAGCAAAGCAAUUAGGUAUAUGUCUAUCCUAACAACUAAUUUGUUCCUCGAUGCCCAGGUUCAAGAACUUGCUCUACUCAAUCCUAUAUGAAAUCUAGAAUUCCCACUUUCGAGUGCAACUCUAGAUUCGUAGAUAGUAUUCAAUCGGUGAUCAAGCAAUCAAAUAAUUAAGUGCAAGAUUGAAUAAACAAUGUCUAUCCUAACAACUAAUUUGUUCCUCGAUGCCCAGGUUCAAGAACUUGCUCUACUCAAUCCUAUAUGAAAUCUAGAAUUCCCACUUUCGAGUUCAAGUCUAGAUUCGUAAAUAGUAUUCAAUUAGUAAUCAACCAAUCAAAAAAUUAAGUGCAGGAUUGAAUAAAUAAACCAAUAUGAUAAACUAAGAAAUCAAAAUCAAUAUCCAAAUAACAAUAGUCCUGAAAAAAUCACAACCCUAGAACGUAACGUUUAGCUCCACAUAGACAUAUAAGAAGAAAAAAUCAUUCAAAGAAACAUUAAAAUUACUAACUUCGGAGGAAUAAAAGAUGAAACACGGCCUCCACGGCGGCUCUGUGCUUGUGUUUUCCUAUCAAAACUUCCUCCUCCAUUCAAAAUACUGUUUUUCUAUGUAUAUAUACCAAGUAAGGUUGGGCCCAAACAAUUAUACCUUCCCCAAGGUGAAAAAGGACAUUUUCCCGGGUUGGACUAGCGCAGUCGCGCAUCUGGGCACGCUAGUUGGACAACAUUCUGUGUUGGGUGCGCUAAAAGUAGCGCGGGCGUGCAUUUUUAUCCAUAUUCCGUUUCGAAUUUGGAAAACCGUAAAACAUAAAAGUUGUAGCCCUUUGUGUUAGCUUAUCAACCAUAUAUUAUGGAGCCGAAAUGGAAUUCUGAACAAGUUAUAUCUAUUUUACUAGACAGUGCGCAAUAUGCCCACUGGAUUCUUCGUUCGCUCUAACUAUCAUCCGUUGACCCCCAAAAAUAAUCUCGGUUUAAUUCCUUAAACUUUUACUCAAAAAUUAAAGCUCCAAAUCACUUUAAUUCAUUUCAUAACAUAUACAUAACUCGAAAUCACUCCUACAAGAUAUAAAAACACCAUUAGUAAAAAACACUAGCGAUUAAGGCUCAAACUCAAUUAAAGUGCAGUAAAUUAGAGUGUAAUAAGCGACUAAAAUAUGUAAUCAUAGCCUAUCAUCAUAUUAUAAUUGGAAAGACAAGCUUUGAUACUUCAAUAUCAGGUACUUUGUGUUAAGAAAUGUGACACUGAACAACCGUAACCCGAACAAAGGGAAGCUGGGACUGAAUUGGGAAGGUCCAUACUAAAUUAUCGAGAUUACAGUAAAGGUUCGUACAAACUCGAAGAUGGGAACGGUGCGCCACUACAUAACAAUUGGAACGUGACCCACUUAAAAUGAUACUACUGCUAAGGUACGACCUCAUUCAUUCUUUCUUAUAUGCAUAUUGCGAAUAGGACUAAAACUUGAAGGAAACAACCAAAGGAUGAUGUAGUUGUUAGGCCUGAAAGUAUGCGUUGCACUUGUUUUCUUUUGAAUUGCUUUUUUCUCAAAUGGGUUUUCUGACAAGGUUUUUAACUAGGCAACAUUAGAUCGUGCUAACUUAGAGUAGAAGCCUGAUUUUAAAUUGGAGUCGAUGGCCAUAUCAACAGUAUCCGAGCUCUCUCGCAGAUCAACCUCGAAUACUGAGGGCCAUCUCCCUCGGGUCGUGAUGAAGGAAACUCUAUUCUCGAAUAGUCUAGGCUUGGUAACUAGGAUUCAUUGUAACGACCAAAUGGUCAAAUAAACCAUGCCCGUGAAGGUUACACCCGUCGCAAUACUAAUUAACAUUUUUUUUCUUAAAAGUAUAGAGCCCAAGGGCUAUUCUUGCCCGAGAAUUACCGAGUAGAAGUGCUGCCAUUAUCCGAGCCCAAAGGGCUACCCCCACUCAGGGACUGUCAUCCUUGAUAAGUUAAAAUGUCUCGGGUUAUCAAAGCCCAAAGACACAAAACCUAUCAGGUUCAGCCAGCUUCUUGGACUCGGCUUCUAGCCUUUUUGCCUACUCGAUCUCGGCCGACAAGUUGAAACCUCAAGCGUGGAUAUCUUCGAGGGUCUCCCUUCGAGACAACCACUUCAUGUACUCACCAAUGACUUUUAGAUAGGCCUCGUUCACCUCAAAAUUAGCCCUAUAUUAGGCCACCAUCUCUUCAGCAUCAGCCCUAGUUAUUUUUUAUUCGGCCUUUUUCAUUUUGAGCUCCUUGCCGAGGGUAUCCCGUUCAGCAGUGGCCGAGCCCACUUGAUCUUGAAGAUCCUCAUUUUGUCGAGCUCGUGCAUCGACCUUCUCUUUUUCCACUCUAAGUUAAUCCUCUGUAGAUGCCAGUUGCACCUGGGCAGUCUCCUUAUUAAAAGCCAGUGGGUCCAUUUUUCCCUUCGAGACAAAGGCCAUACUAUGGAACUCGUUUAUUUCAGCUCGAAAUUGAUCGAUCCGAUCAAUCUUCUAUUGAACUUGUGAGGUUAAGGUGUUAGUCACCAUGGCUAAGUCUUAGUUGCUAACUGAAAACCUUUGCAUGUUCCACCAAGUCGGCAUGCUCCUUCUGAGCCGCGUCUAACUCGGUCUGGAUAUUCUUGACGGUCCAUUUGUGGUGCUCGCUAAGAAGCUUAUACAUGUCUCGUUUCUUAGCAAGCUCCCUAGCCUCAGCAACGAGAUGGUUAACCUUAGCCCGUUACCAAAGAAAGCUUUCCUGAUGGAGUAUCGAGGCCUACAAAUAUAUAAAAGAAAAAAGACAUGAGAAAUAUCAAUAACCAAGUCAGAUGAUAAAAGAGUGUAAUGAUGCCUUACCCGAUUUAGCACCUUCUACACUUCGUCGAAUAGGCACCACAUGCCCACCUCAUUCAUUUUUGCUUGGUCUUCUUCGGAUACCAGGCACCGAAGGUAACUCGCUACUGCUACGGGAUAAGAAAGAACUCGGGCAUCCUCCAGGACGGUGAGGAUUAUCCAUCUCUUACGAUCGAGAUCCGUACUCGGGGCGGGGAACUGGUCGAUGAACUUUGGGCUCGAAUUCAGCCCGCCGGUUCCUGAAGAUGGUUGCCUCUUCGGCACCUCUAGGUCGCCCAAUCCGGUAAAGUCUUCAAAAAUGGUCGAGUCCACACCCUCGAAAAUAGAAUGAAAGGGAUUGUCCGUACCAUAAGCCCCUUCAUUGGAUUGCUCCUUCACCGUUCGGACCUCAUUGAGCAUGGACUCGGUAUAAGAAGGCAACCCUGAAAUAUUUAUAACAUUGGGCGCCUUCUUUGGGGCGUUGUUGGGCUUCUUGGGAAGUCUCAGUCCCAGUCUCCUCAUCGACCUUCUUAGUAUGAGGGAGAUCGGCCUCAUAGUUCUCCUGUUUAAUAGCUGCCCACUCCUUGGGGAUGUCGGCCCGUGGGCUACAAAAAAUCAUCCUUCUCGAGAUCAACUAUGAGCGAAAAAGCGAGUCUGGGUUAGGUUCUCGAGAGUUGGAGCUCUCAUUUGGCUUACGAUCCAACCUUCUCUUUGGUUUCUUCUUCUCGGAGCUCGGGCAGCCCAGAGCCUUCCUUUUCUUCUUCUGUCUUGAUGCAACCCCGAGUUGUCCUAAAGUAGAGGGAUCAAAAAAUAGACCCUCGUCCCCUACUGAAGGCCUAAUUUCAAUGGUCUUAGGAAAACCUGUGAAUGGAAAAGUGACGAAAAGAAGAUGAGUACGACACAAAAGGGAGAGCCAGAUGUUACCUAUUCGAGGAAGGGUCUUACCGUGAGAACGGACUCCUAGCAGCCCCUUAUGAGUUUGCACUAUGAAAUCUCGAAAUAAAGUAUCUAUGAACAAAUGCCUUCGAUCCACUACUUGAGCUGAGAGACAACAAUUGGUACUCGAGCAACAGCUGCACCACCACAAGUAAUAGUGAGGAAAAAAGAGAUAAACAUAAAAUCGACAUUUAAAGGAAAGUUGUGCUUACGUGAUGCAUUCCAGCUCUGGGGAAUGGCAUGAACUAGGAAGGGAUCAACUCUUAGGUCUUUACCCAAAUAAAGUGUUUGUACCAGUCCUGAUCACGAUCUUUAUUGAUACUCGUGAAUGGAGCUUUGGUUUCCUAGUGUGUGAGAUUUAUUAACCCCCCUCGGAAGAUUCAAGGAUUGUAUAGGCGGAGUAGGUGAUUGAUGGGAAACCGACGGGAUUCGGUCUUGUUCAUAAAAUAUCGGAUACGGAUCACGAACCUCUAUAGCGACAGAUGAAUCUGACCGAAGAACACUUCGUACCUCUUAUAAAAGUUUAGAAUAACCGGGUCCGCGGGGCCCAAAGUGAAGGGAUAAGUGUAAACACUUAGAUAUCCCUCCAUAUGGGUAGUAAUGUUGUCCUUAGGUCAGGGGACUACUAUGUACUUGCCUACCCAGUUACAAUUCCUUCGGAACUCGGGAAGGACAUCUUCUGUGAUCAAGAAUAUAUUUCUUGAUGCCACCUCAUCAGUUCCUGCAUCGACAAGACUUUUCAAUCUUGAAUUCAUCGGCAAUCGAACAACCACUAGGGAUGAACAUUUUCAAGGGAGGCUCGAGAGUCGGUUCGUUGGUAGCUAUAUCAGGAGAGGACCUCUUGAGGAUGACCACAUCAGGAGUGAUUUCCUUGAAUUCGGCAGUCAGUUGUAAAGAAGAAGCGACUUGGUGCGAAAUAUAUUUUAAAGUUUUAACCAUUGUUAUUCGGAAAAAGCUUGAAAAAUAUGAAGAAAUGUUGAACGUUGAAAAGUCAAGUACGCUGGUUUGAGUGAAAGUUAGGUAAACACACGCAACUUAUUGAGAAAUCUUAGAGAACAGAGGUUAAUGUAUGGGAGUGGGAAAAAGGUUAGUGAUAACCUGAAAACCCGAAGGUAGAAGCUUGGUCAAAAGGUAAAAAUAAACGAAGAAGGAAAGUAUUUAUAGAGAUUUCACUUCGUUUCGCAUUUCAGGGAUAACCUGUCGAUGGUUGACGCGUGUUUGGAGUCAUAAUGACACAACUGAUGGGAUAUUUCAAAUUCUUUAUCAUUUCUGUCAUGAUGUAUUAAAGAAGGAAUCGAAGUGCAUAUGUCGUUUCCCAUCGCUUCAGUAAACUUAUUCUUAGAGAAACGGAGGACUAUCUGUAUACGGAUUAGAUCGAGCACGUGGGACACCUCGGUUCUUGAUGAUGUAAGCGGAGCAUAGAUCCAAAGACAUGACUGUAAGAAAUCGAAAUCGGAGCAAUGAGUCCUUCGAGUUGGGAUCCGGCUAAAACACAUGCCCCCGGAGGAAUCGGAGCCACGUCCCCCAAGACCGAUUUGAAGCCCAGAACUUCAGAGAACAUUACUAGAUAAUCGAGCAUGACUAAUAAAGGGUCGUGAUAUUCGUACCCGACUAAAUUUCACAUCGUGAAUCUCGGCACGUAUUAACAAAAAUCAGUGGUUAGUAAAACGAAAAAACUUUAUCUUUUAUGGAAUUGUUAGGGUAAAACUCCCCUAUUAUAUAAAUGGGAGUUUAAAUAUCCUUUAAAAAGACCAUUGUAACACGCAUAUCAAGGCAAUAUACUUUUAUUUUCUUUGCUAUUCAAAGGAGAAGUUUUAUUACAAAGUUAUGGACCACAAUCUUACACCUCUGGGUCCAUAAAUUGCGAGACAGAUAAGUUGUCUCAUACAACAAGUGUCACUUGUAUACACGAAAUAAAAUUUUUCUAUUCAAAGUUUUUACUUUUGUUCAUUAGUUUUUCAUUAUUACGAGCCCGAGAUCGAAGGCAGGCAUUACAUUAAAAUUGUUAUGGGUUCACUCCCAAUAAUUAAUUUGAUAAUUUAUUACCGUAUCUUUAAAAUCACGUAUAAAUUUAAUUGUGUUAUUCGUUCUCAUGAUAAAUAACUAUAUCUCAGUUAUCGCUUUUUAAUGUGUCAAUUAAUUAACACUAAACAGUAUGAAUGGGUUUUCGAAAUUUUUUUAUUUUUCUAACAGAGCAAGGAUCUGAAAUAUAUUUAAUUUGUCAAAAAUAACCAAUAUUUGAGAAUAGAAGGAAUAUCAACUAGUAAUAAAGAGGAACGAAAGCAACAAUAUCGUAUAUAGUAUAACGCAUAUAUAUAUNNNNNNNNNNNNNNNNNNNNNNNNNNNNNNNNNNNNNNNNNNNNNNNNNNNNNNNNNNNNNNNNNNNNNNNNNNNNNNNNNNNNNNNNNNNNNNNNNNNNNNNNNNNNNNNNNNNNNNNNNNNNNNNNNNNNNNNNNNNNNNNNNNNNNNNNNNNNNNNNNNNNNNNNNNNNNNNNNNNNNNNNNNNNNNNNNNNNNNNNNNNNNNNNNNNNNNNNNNNNNNNNNNNNNNNNNNNNNNNNNNNNNNNNNNNNNNNNNNNNNNNNNNNNNNNNNNNNNNNNNNNNNNNNNNNNNNNNNNNNNNNNNNNNNNNNNNNNNNNNNNNNNNNNNNNNNNNNNNNNNNNNNNNNNNNNNNNNNNNNNNNNNNNNNNNNNNNNNNNNNNNNNNNNNNNNNNNNNNNNNNNNNNNNNNNNNNNNNNNNNNNNNNNNNNNNNNNNNNNNNNNNNNNNNNNNNNNNNNNNNNNNNNNNNNNNNNNNNNNNNNNNNNNNNNNNNNNNNNNNNNNNNNAUAUAUAUAUAUAUAUAUAUAUAUAUAUGGCGUAUUCAGAAUUUUUCAUUAGUGAUAUCACUAAUUUUAGUAAAAGACCCGUAACAGUCAAAAGAACAUUUUGUGAGGGAGUUCAAACUUAAAAAAUUUCACAUAAUACUCAAAGCUAACAAUUACUAGACUAAUGAGAUAUUUUAUUACAAUGGUGUCACUUUUAAUAGUUUUAUCUUGUAUUUCUAUUUUACUUAUUAUUUUUAUAUUUAAUGACACAAACUUGCUACUAUGUAAAUUCGCCCCUAUAUAUACACUUAGAGAAAAGACAAUAUCAUCCACGUAAUUGAAUUUGCCCGUUGUACUUGGCUUUUUCUUAGGUUGGCCGAAAUUGCACCUUAAUUAAUGAACAUUAGUUACUAAGUAGAUGAAGCAAAGUAUUAGAAACAACAAUAGAAAGAACAACAAAGUUGUUAUUCCUUUUCUCAAUAUGUCCGUACAUACAAAUCCAAUGAAUCCCCAAAAAAAUUUCCAAUCAAUGGAACCACCAACAUAUUCUAAUCCCCACCAAAAAAUUAAAUCAUCAAAAUUUCAAUCAUGACCCACUAAUUUCCUCUUUCAACUAAUCAUUCUGUACAUUGCCACCAAAGACAACAACAACACUAACAACCCAAUAUAAUUCCACUUAGUGAGGUCUGGGAAGGGUAGUGUGUACUACCAAAGAAUCACCUAAUAAGAGAAAACACAACAAAUAUAAAGAAUCCGAAUUGAUGAAGUUUUUACUUGGUUCUGCUGAUUGGCUUGUACAAAUCAUAAGGUUCCCAAAGAUAAUCCAACGGACACGGUUUCUUCUCAUCAAGCCGAACCCACGGCUUCCCUUUCCCACUCCAAUGCAACAAGCUGACAUGACCAGGGUGCAGUGACCUACACGAGCCCUUCACAUUAUCCCCACCGAGCCCAUGUUGGUUCCAUUUAUGGUCAAUUGGCUCAACAUUUCCACCAAAAACCAACAGAAAUGGUGGCAAUGAACCCAGCUCAUAAAUCCUUGUCCUUUUCUGUAAUUUCAUCCAACUUUCUAUCUUCAUUCUGUAAUUACCUUCCCUCCAUUUCUCCAAAUCCAUCACCAUUACACCCGUAUUGAAGUAACACGGGUUUCUUGACUCGAAUACUCGGGGCAAAAUCGGGUCGGACCAGAACGAGUCUGUGAAGUACUUGGUGAAAUUCGCGUGGCAGUAUUCAGGUGCUCCGAUGACCCGUGACCCGGUAAGCUGAACAUUCCAAAGUUUGUGAACAUCGUCCACGAGGAUUACAUCGGAGUCUAAGUAAAUUACCCGGUUCACACACGGGUCAAGUAUAUCACCCAGGUAAUUCCGGGCGUAGUUUAACGGAUUCUCGAGUGCUAUUCGGAUCGAAGAUGAAAUGAGACUUAAUACACCGUCUUCUCUGAAAACGUACACUUGAAAGUUGAGAGAAGGGAAGAUGGAUCUCACGAGUCGGGUCAGGACCCGCGGGUUAGAUUCCGGAUCGAAUUCAGCUGAUAUGAAGUGGAAGAACACGUGCUCUGGACACGACGCGUGGCGGAGGACUGAGUGUACAGCCGCCAUUGAUCCUCUUAGGUACUCCGAGUCAAGCGUCAUCGCUACAUGAACCAAAGACGGGUCACAAUACGACAUCGUUUCAGCUCGUUCUGUUACCGGACAAGCGGCUCCAUUCCUGUAAUCCGGUGCCUCUGUAAAUCCGAACAAUUUGUCACUGUUAACUGGACGAAUCGCAAUACACCCAAAAGGAAAAAAGCCAAGAAUCAAGAGGCAAACAAGUCCUGUGACUGAAUGAAACAAAUUCAUAUCUGGGUUUUUCGAUUUUGUGUGUGUUAAGUUGUGUGUGUAUGUAUAUAUUGGGGACUACUGGUACAGCAUUGUGGAGGUGAGGAAGGAAGGAAUAAUAGCUGGAAAAGGAGAUGACCAAAGAAUGGUCAAUAAACAACCGUAUAUAUACAUAUAAAAGAAUCGUCAAUGAUAAAAGAAUAACUCAAAUUGAUUUUGUUACCAUGAGGCAUGUAGAGAGAGAGAGAGAGAGGAGAUUUGCGUUGCUGUUUGCCGUCACUUUCUACUGUAAAUUUUGGAAGGUAUGGGCAGUUUUAUAGAUGACGGGCUAAUGCAAAACUACUUUGUUAUAAAGUAAAAAACUGUGAGGGUGUGAUUCAGUUGAACGAGUGCUUAGCCUAGGGGAGGAAUAGAUUAUGGGUUAUUAAUUUAUUUUGCGCUAAUAUACGUGGAGUUUCAUCUAUAAUUAAAGGUUGAAAAAAAAACUUACUCCCUUAUUUAAUUUAUAUAAAUUUAUUUAACUAGCCGGAAUUAUAAAAAAAUUUAGAUUUUAAGGUCCUAAAUAAAUCAAAAAGAUAUUUAAAGUAUUUGUAUAGUUAUAAAUGAUUCUCACCAAGAGUAAAAUUGUAAAUUUAAGCCAAAUUAUUUUCAAAUUUAAAAAUAAAUUAUUUUUUGGAAUAGACCAAAAUAAGUUCAUACAAACCAGAGAGUGUAAAUUAAAGAAAAGGGUUUUAGCAGCUGGUGGGCAGCUUAGUAAAAGCAUAUACGUGGAAGUUUGUUAUCAUUUUAGGGUGGAUUUAGGUGGUAUUCCUUAAAGAUGUCUAACGGGUCGGAUCAGCCUGUUUUCGAAUCGGCCUAGACCGUUAAAAGCAUAAUCGGCCUAAACCUGUAGAAGAGGGCUAGGUGGGAUUAGAUCAUAGGGGUAGGGCGGUUUGUACCGUUCACGUUUGAACUAUCGGUUAACUGGAUCGGUCAAAACCGAUCAACGAACAAUAUUGUUCAUCCGGUUAACUGGCUCAGCCCAGACCAGUUUAACAGAAAGAAUUUUUUUUAAAACGUGCGCUCAGAUUUCUAACCGUUUGUGAGGGCCUAAAGGGUCAUCACAUGUUUUCUUAUUCAUUCUGUGCGUCUGAGGCCUUGAAAAUCUCAUUUAGAGUCGCUUCGAUUUGCGUGCGUAGUUCGGGCGCGUAGCUGGAAAGCUUAAAUAUGAAAUUCUCCGACUAAUUCUAAUUUUUUAUGUUAAAAUAAAUAAAUUUGACUUUGGUCAAUGUUUUGGGUAAACGAGCCCGGACCUAUGAUUCGACGGUCCGGGAGAGCCCGUAUGAAAAUGUGGGACUAGGACUAUGCCCGAACUCGAAUUCCGAGGUACCGAGCCCGAGAAAUGAAUUUUUAAAAGAAAUUGUUUUUUCUCAAAUUAUUAAGGAAAAUUAAAUUGAUAUUUGAUUAGAACGUGUUGGUAUCGGCCCCGUAUUUUAGUUUCGGCCCCCGGUUCAGGUUUUAUAUGUGCUUUAUGUCAUAUCUGUGAAAUUUGAUUUAAUACGGACGUCGUUUGACGCGAUUCGGACCUAAAUUGGAAAAUUUUGAUGUUUUAUGAAGUUUGAAAGAAUUUUUGAAUUUUGAGGUUUAAUUCGAUGUUUGUGAUGUUGUUUCGGCAAUUGGAUUGCACGAAUAAAUUCGUAAGAUGUUUUGAAGUUCUGUAUAUACUUGGGUUGGAGCUUUGAGGGCUCGGGUGAGUUUUAAAAAGGUUCCAGGAUGCCUUAGACUUAAAAAGAUCAGAUGCUGGAGGUUUAGGAAACAUCGCAGGUCUCUGAACCCUCUUGUGCAGUCCGCGAGAAAUUGCGUGCGGCCGCGGUCGUCUUUUCACGGUCCCCGGUGGACGCUGUGCGGCUACGGUUGGCUUUGUGCGGUCCACACGAGGCUAUGAACUGCAGGUCUUUAGAGAGGCUAGUGUUGCCGCAGUCUUUUUUGUGCGGUCCGCACAGGGAGUUUCUGAGGGGUAAAAAUAUACAGAAAUUUCAGUUAUCUUUCACAUUUCAAAACCUCAAAAACAUAAUAGGCGAUUUUUCAAGCAAUCUUUCUUCUCUAAAUCAAUUGCAAGUCGCUUUUAGCUAGUUUUCUUUAAUCAUUAACAUCUUUUAAUAUGACUUCAACUUAGAAUCAAAGAUUUUUAUGUGGGAAUUGGGUGUUUUGGGUAGAACUUAGAUUUUUCAAAAAUUGAGGAUUUGGACCUCAAUUUGAAGUCCGAUUUCAAAACAAAUCAUAUAUUUGAGCUUGUGGGGUGAUAGGUAAUCGGAUUUUGGUCCGAACCUCGAGUUUCUCCCACGUGUGCUUGGGGACAUUUUUGACCUUUUUGGGUAAAACUUUGGAAAACUCAUUUUUAUGCAUUGGGCUUGAUUCAUUUAGUAUGUAUUAAUGUAAUUAAGUAACUUGUGACUAGAUUCAAGCGGAUUGGUGGUGGAAUCAAGAGGUAAAGCUUUAAUUGAGACUUGUGUGGUGUUCAAGGCAUCAAGGUAAGUGUUUGGUCUAACCCUAACUUAAGGGAAUAGGAGUGUCUUAUUUGCCAAUUGCUUCUUGUUGAGUACAAUAUAUAGUCAUAGUGACGAGUAUCUACACGUUCGUUUCUAGCAUGACCGUGAGUUUUUAUAUGGCAAAUAUUCUGAUUUUGUUGUACCUUUCAUGUCUAAAUGAUGAUUUCUAUAUGUUGUAAAGUACAUGUGAAAGAAAUUGUGAUCUUUGAACUUCGAGGAGCAUUGGCUCGAGUUGUGAUACGAAUUUAAAUAUCCCUCCAAAUAUUCCUAAAACAUUACCUGAUAAUAAUAUAGAUUAUGAACAAUUACAAAAAAAAAAUUGGUAUAGAAGAUAAUGAAUUAGAAAUGGAAGAUGAGAUACUGCUUACACCUAGUAGUGUUGGAGCUGGUAGCAAGGGUGGUAGUCGUGAUGCUAGUAGUAGACCACCUGUGGCCCCGACUAGUAAUCGUAGAAAAAGAAAUAAGAUUUGGAAUUUUUUGAAGAAAUGUCUAAUAGUGAUAGAGUUAAAUACAAACUUUAUAAUGAUACUUUUAAACAUAAGAGUGGAGGACAGUUAGGGAGACUGGGACACUUAGUAGACAUAUGAGAAUUUUGAGCAUCCUAUAGAAUGGGGAUUUGAUGGAGAUGAAAAUCAAUCAACUCUAAACCAUACUACUGGAGGUCUUGUGAAAUGUGAUAAAAUGAAGGAUCGUGAUGAGUUAGCAAAGAGGUAAUUGAAUCCUUUGGAGCAAUGGCUCAAGUGGUAAAGUGAGAUAUGAAGUGAGAGUGAAAGAAAGAGAAAGAGUAUUUAAAUGGUUCCCUUGCAGGGAUAUUGCUGCUCACUGAUUAUUUUCCCUUGCCAAGACGUUGAGAUUUUUGAUGUUGUACCCUUGCCCGAAUUUAAUUAUUUAAAUUGUGCUCCUAUGUCGGGAUCUCUAUUAUUAUCUUGUUCAUUCCCUUGCCCCUUGUUUGUGAUUGUUGUUUAGGUGAGGAAGAGUGUUAAAGCACGAACGGUGAACGGUGAUGCCGUGCCUUGUUUACUUAUUAUGAGGAAAGAGAGUAAAGCACGACGGGUGAUGUCGUGCCACACGAUGUGCCAUUCCGUGCCAAUUAUAGUGAUUAUAUGUGAGGAAAGAAAGUAAAAGCACGAAGGGUGAUGACGUGCACAUUUUUAUCAUAUCAUUGCUUGGUGAGUAUAAGAGUAAAAGCACAUAAGGUAAUACCGUGCACAUAUUUAUCAUAUCAUUUAGGUGAGGAAGAGUGUUAAAGCACGAAGGGUGAUGCCGUGCCUUAUUUACUUAUUAUGAGGAAAGAGAGUAAAGCACGAUGGGUGAUGUCGUGCCACACGAUGUGCCAUUCCGUGCCAAUUAUAUUGAUUAUAUGUGAGGAAAGAGAGUAAAAGCACGAAGGGUGAUGACGUUCACAUUUUUAUCAUAUCAUUGCUUGGUGAGUAUAAGAGUAAAAGCACAUAGGGCGAUACCGUGCACAUAUUUAUCAUAUCAUUGCUUGGUGAGGAUGACAGUAAAAGCAUGAAGGGUGAUGCCGUGCACUUAUUAAUUUCUGAUUCUUUAUGGUUGUCUAGUUAUGCUGCUUUCUUUGAUAUUUGGUCAUUUUUUGUCGGAGUUGUUAUCUUUCCCACAUCAUGUUUUUCCCUCCCAUAUUGACUGGUUAAUUUUGUAUUUCGAUUCUGCUGUAUAUGUAUAUAACUGCACAGGUUUAUGUGAUAGUCCGGUCUAGCCUUGUCACUGCUUCACCGGGGUUAGGCUACGAACAUGGGAUCGGUUAUGCUGAUGCUAUACUCUGUGCUCUUUUGCAGAGAUCCAGGUGUCGGAGCAGCUUACGGGGCGCAGCAGUAGUCAGGGAGCCGACCAUCUAUCGACGAGUCUACGAGGUAGCCUUGUUGGCGUCCACAGGUCCGGCGUCUCUUCUUUCAGUUUCCAUGUUCUGUUGACAUUUGUAUUCGAGAGAGACUAUAUCCUUUAUUUCAAACUCUUAUUUGUAGUAAAUCUUAGACAGUUCGUGUAUUAUUGUGACACCAAGUAAUGAGUAGAGAUUUGUAUUAGUUUUCUAGAUGCUGCUUUUAUAUUUAGUUCAGACUUCUACUAAAUUUUACUUUUUGUUGAUUUUUAAUUGCUUAUUCAUUGAUAGUUUAAUUGUUCAAUCACUAUAUGACGAGAUGGGUUAAUGUUUGUGAAGGUUCUUCGCUUGCUUAGCUUCCACGAGUAUGCGUCAUCACGACCCCGAUGGUGGGAAAUUCGGGUCGUGACAAGUUAAGAAAAAUUUGUUAAGAAAUAGUAAAAGAAAUUAUUUUUCUGAAAUUGUUAAGAAAAAAAUUGAAUUGAUAUUUGAUUAGAACGUGUUGGUAUCGGGCCAUUUUUUUGAUUCCGGCACCCGUUACAGGUCUUAUAUGUGCUUUAAGUCAUUUCUGUGAAAUUUGAUUUAAAACAGACGUCAUUUGACACGAUUCGGACCUAAAUUGGAAAAUUUUGAGGUUUUAUGAAGUUUGAAAGAUUUUUUGGAUUUUGAGGUUUAAUUUGAUAUUUAUGAUGUUGUUUUGGUGAUUUGAUCGCACGAGUAUUUAAAUGGUUCAUUUACCGAGAUAUUGCUGCUCACUGAUUAUUUUCCCUUGUGGGACGUUGAGAGUUUUGAUGUUGUACCCUUGCCGGAAUUUAACUGUUUAAAUUGUGCUCCCAUGUUGGGAUCUCUAUUAUUAUCUUGUUCAUUCCCUUGCCCCUUAUUUGUGAUUGUUGUUUGGGUAAGGAAAAGUGUUAAAGCACGAAGGAUGAUGUCGUGCAUUAUUUGCUUAUUGUGAGGAAAGUGAGUGAAGCACGAAGGGUGAUGUCGUGCCGCACGAUGUGCUAUUUCGCGCUAAUUAUAUUAAUUAUAUGUGAGGAAAGAGAGUAAAAGCACGAAGAGUGAUGCCGUGCACAUUUUUAUCAUAUCAUUGCUUGGUGAGAAUGAGAGUAAAAGUACGACGGGUGAUGUCAUGCACAUUUUUAUCAUAUCAUUGCUUGGUGGAUGAGACUAAAAAUACGAAAGGUGAUACCGUGAACUUAUUGAUUUCUGAUUCUUUAUUGAUGUCUAGUUAUGCUUCUUUCUUCGUUAUCUGAUGUUUUUUAGUCAGAGUUGUUAUCUUCCCAACAACAUGUUUCCUCCUCCCAUAUUGACUGGUUAAUUUCUGUAUUUCAAUUCCACUGUAUAUGUAUAUAUAACCGCAUAGGUUUGUGUGGUAGUCCAAUCUAGCCUCGUCAUUACUUCGUCGGGGUUAGGCUAAGCACUUACCGGCACAUGGGGUUGGUUGUGCUGAUGCUACACUUUGUGCUCUUUUGCAUAGAUCCAGGUGUCGAAGAAGCUUACAGGGCCUAGCAGUAACCAGGGAGCUGACCUUCGUUCCACGAGUCUCCGAGGUAGCCUUGCUGGUUGUCCGCAGGCCCGUCGUCUCUUCUUUCGGUUUCCAUGUUCUGUUGAUAUUUGUAUUCGAGACAGAGUAUGUCCUUUAUUUCAAACUCUUAUUUGUAGUAAAUCUUAGACAGUCCGUGUAUUGUUGUGACACCAGGUGCUGGGUAGAAAUUUAUAUUGAUUUUCUAGAUGCUAUUUUUAUAUUUAGUUCUGACUUCCGCUAAAUUUCACUUUUCGUUGAUUUUUAAUUUCUUAUUCAUUGAUAAUUUAAUUGUUUAAUCACAUAUAUGACGAGAUGGGUUAAUGUUUUGGGAAGGUUCUUGGCUUGCCUAGCUUCCACGAGUAGGCGUCAUCGCGACCCCGAGGGUGAAAAAUUCCGGUCGUGACACCGUUGGCAACAGUCUAUUUCACAAUAUGGCCAUUGCCCAAUGGUUAAAUUUCAGAAUUAACCCAUUUUUGGAUUUUUUUUAAAUUAACCCACCUUUGAAAAACUAUAAAUACCCCCCUCCCCCUCCCCCUUCCUCCUCAAUUCUUCACUCAUUUCUCAAUUCUCAUAUUCUCCCAUUCUUCAAUCUUCACCUAUUAACGUGCAAUCAACUAUUUGGCUCUUUUUUUUGAAUUUAAUUUAUUGUAGUAUUUAUUAUUUGAAACUUGAACAACUAAAAUUUCAAACUGAAAAUCAUCAAAUGUUCAAUAUAUUAACGAAUUCGGUGCACUCCCUCCAACUCUUUCUCUUAUUUACUAUUUUAUUUGCAUAUUUAUUUAUUGUUAGCAGUUAAAUUUUUACAUUAUGUUUAAUGCCGCAAAAAGAGUUUGUAACAAGGACACUAAAUGGGAAAAUAACAAAAGAGAUAAUAGUUCAACUUCAGCAUCUAGUAGUAAUUUAAAUAUCCCUCCAAAUAUUCCUAAAACAUUACCUGAUAAUAAUAUAGAUUAUGAACAAUUACAAAAAAAAAAUUGGUAUAGAAGAUAAUGAAUUAGAAAUGGAAGAUGAGAUACUGCUUACACCUAGUAGUGUUGGAGCUGGUAGCAAGGGUGGUAGUCGUGAUGCUAGUAGUAGACCACCUGUGGCCCCGACUAGUAAUCGUAGAAAAAGAAAUAAGAUUUGGAAUUUUUUGAAGAAAUGUCUAAUAGUGAUAGAGUUAAAUACAAACUUUAUAAUGAUACUUUUAAACAUAAGAGUGGAGGACAGUUAGGGAGACUGGGACACUUAGUAGACAUAUGAGAAUUUUGAGCAUCCUAUAGAAUGGGGAUUUGAUGGAGAUGAAAAUCAAUCAACUCUAAACCAUACUACUGGAGGUCUUGUGAAAUGUGAUAAAAUGAAGGAUCGUGAUGAGUUAGCAAAAAUGAUUGCUUUGGGUUGUCAACCUUUUUCUUCUGCUUCUUCAUCAUAUCUUAUUAUGUAUAUCCAAAGGAUUUACAAUCCUUUAUUUAAAGGUAUCCGUAGAAGUACUUGUAGAUCGGAUAUCUUUAGACUUCAUGGACAAUAUCAAACAUUUAUUUUUUUAGUCACCUUCCUUGUAGAGUUUCUCUAACUUCUGAUAUUGGCCAUGCUGUUAAUAAAAAUGAUUAUUUGACAAUUACGUAUCAUUGGAUAGAUGAUACUACUUGUAUGCAAAAACGUAUUAUCGCUUUUAAAUAUGAUGAAGAUCAGAGUCAUACUAUUGUGUUUAUAAGCAGUACUAUUUGUGAAGUUGUUGAAUUUUAUAAUCUCAAGCAAAAAAUAUUGUGUAUAUCUUUUGAUACUGCGUCUAACAAUAAUGCCGCAAUUUCAAUAUUAAAACUGCAUUUGAAACCACCUCUUAUUGAAAUUUUUCGUGUUAGGUGUGCGUGUCAUGCUUAUUAUUUAAUUAUUAAAAGUGGCCUUGAUUAAUUUUCAACUGAAAUUACUCAUAUUAGAAGAGCUGUUGGUAUUAUUCAAGGAAAUAAUAGACAAUAUAUAAUAAAGGAAUUUAAGAAUAUGUGUAUCUAGUAUAACCUUAAACCCAGAUUCAAGGACGUGAAGAUGUUGAUAGCUCAGAAGACGAGGAACUUGGAGAUAUAUUACCAUAUGGUAACCCAUCCGAAUUUAACACUCUAGAAGAAGGUCACUCAGUUCAUAUUGAUUAUGAAGAACUUAUUAAGGCAAUGCAAAACCUUUAAAUUUACUCUUUUUUGGUUAAUUUACUUGUUAAAACUAAACCUUUCAAUUUGUAAGUUUGAAUUUUAAAAUAAAUGUAGCACUUGCAAUUUAUAAGUACAAUUUUUUCUCAUCUUUAUUGUAUUCUUUAUAUUUUUAUUUUAUAUUAAUAUAACUUACAAUAGAUAUACAAAAUAAAAAAAAAUAAAAAUAACACUAAACCCGGUCCAGCACGGCUCCAUGAACCCGUAACCCUUACGAUUCAAUAUUUACAUGGAUGAAUUCGAACCUGCUAAACCCGAUAUACCCAACCCGUAACCUGUCCAUAUCAUAAUCCAUACAGAUAUUAAAUUUCCCGAUUCAACCCGACCCGUCCCACCCAAUAGUAUUCCUUUAGUUGGUAUUUUUGUGGUUGGUAGUUAGCUGAGUAUUUUACAAUUAAAGUCAUUUUCUUCUACAUAAUAAACCUAUUAGGCGUCAUUAAAUUUCACAAUGGUUAUAUGGAGAAUAUAAUGUAAAAAUUAUUUGUGCUAUAAUAUAAUGAAUGAACUGUUAUACGUAGAAAAAUACUUGAACACCGUUAUGAGUAAAAUAACAAGAAUAUUAUAUAGUGAUCAUAAAAUUAUCUCAAUAAUAUUAUGUAUUGACUAAUUAAUUAAUUGCUUCUAGGCAUUUUAUUUUGAAAUAUUUUUGCGCAUGUCUUGCUAAUAUGUACUUCCAUAUAAUUUAAUGUAGGUAUUAUUUCAUAUCACCAACCAAAUAUUACAUUAGUUGUGGAGGAAUUAUUCAUGCACGACAAACCAAUCAUUGUGGGAGUACUACUUUGAUAGUUAAAUUGAAUUGGAGAGCUAACUUCGGACCAAAAAACAAAAAAUUGAACAGUUAACUCUUGGAAUCAAAUACAUGAAAAGAAACUCGUAAUAUAAGGCCUAUGAUUUAAAUCAAAGAUUUUCCAUCAGCGCAAUCGUAACCUAAAUUGGAUAAAUAGGCCAAGGAGAACAAAGUCCAGAAAAGAAGAAACACUAUCCCAAUCAAUUAUAGGCGGAGCCAAAAUUUAAAAUUUAUGGGUUUAAUAUUUAAUUCAUUUAAGUCACUGAAUUCUAAUUUAAUAAUUUAUAUAUAUUUAAUAAAUUUUUUAAGAUAAUAUAAAAUUUGAAUAAAAAUUAUUGAAUUGGAUCAAACCGCAUCUCACCGUCUGCUAUGCCCCUGCAACCAACUCAACUGGAAGAUUUAAAGGUAAACAUCACAGUUCAGAUUAAAGGUCUCCUGAAGCACUCUCCAUUCUGGAUCUUUAAAUAGUUCGUAAGCAAGAGUAGUGACGGAGCUAAAAAACUUUUUAAAAGUAUUCAAAAUUUAAAGAAGUAAAAAACGUUUUCAAUAAAAAAUAUUUAAUAUAUGUCAUAUAACUCUAAAACGUGUAGGCCGGACCGGUCUGAGUUGAGAAAAAAGUGAUCAGUCGAUUUCCAAUCCAUGCCAAUUACCGAUUUUUUCAAAUCGGGCUUAAUGGGCCCGGAUCCAUCCUGGACAAAAAAUGAACUAGAACGUUAUAGGUCAAGGGGCCGGGUCGGGUUAAUGUUAUUUUUUUAAAUUCUAUAUAACUAUCGUAAUUUAUAUUAAUAUUAAAUAAAAAUAAAAAAUACAAAAACAAUCUUAUAAAAAAGAGUGUUUGAAAAAGGAUGUAAAGGCUUUAAAAUUCUUAUAUUUGAAAUUUUGAAUAUUCCAUUAAUAAUUUAAGAUAAUAGAACAUAAUAAGAUGGAAAAAAAUUGCACUUACGAUUUGUAAGUAUUUUUUAUUACAAACUUACAAAUUAAAGUUUACAUUUAACAAUAAGUAAAUUAACAAAAAAAGAGCAAAUUCAAAGGUUUUGCAUUGCCUUAAUAAGUUCUUCAUAAUCAAUAUGAACUUCUUGGCCAUCUUCUAGAGUGUUAAAUUCAUAUGGAUUACCAUGUAUUAAUAUACCUCCAAGUUCCUCGUCGUCUGGUCUAUUAACAUCUUCAUGCCCCUGAUUUAUUCAUUCCAGUAUAAUUUAAUCUCUGAAACAUACUAAAACUUUCAAACCAUUACUUCCCACUAAGUGAUAGGUGUCUCAUAGUUGUUGUCUUGCUCGACUAAAUGCACUCUCUGAUGCAACAAUUGAAAUUGGCACAUUUAGCACAUCACGAGCCAUAGCGGAAAGAACAGAAAAUUGCUUUUCAUUCUCAUGCUACCAUCCAACGGUGAAAAUUCCUUUCUGCGAGGCUCUUUUUGCUUUUGCAAGUAAAAUUGAAAUUCAUCAAUGUUCCUGCUACUGGUUUGAGUGGUAAGAAAUGUAAAUCCAAUAUUAAAUCCCUCAAGGCCUUCAUCAUUAUCCAUAGUAGUAGAUACAUUAGAAGCAGUACAAUGCCUAGUGAGAUUAACAUUGCAUACAUUAAAAGCAGCAUCAUCAACUAUAUUUAUACAAUAAUUCUAUAAUUGUUGUAAAUAAUCAUUUAGCUUAUUCAUACAACAAAUGGGGUACAGUUAGUCCAACCUCCAUAUACGUAUGUAAAGCAUUGAUUAAUUGGUGACAAUCAGGCAUCUUAAUAAAAGGAUUUAAUACGGCGUCAAUUAAGCAAUUGGAGGAAUUGAAAAGAAAUAUUAUUUGAACUUCGCUUGUAUUUUUUCAACAACAUCCUUAUGUUUUUACUUUUAAUUCAAAAAGUAGAAAAAACAUUUGAGCUAUAUGUACUAAAGCCAUAGUAAUAGUAGAGUAAUAUGCUCCAGAAAACUCAAGAGUAGUUGUAUAAAAUUUAUGUAAAAAUUUAACAACAUCAUUAAUAGCAUCCCAAGUAGUAGUUGCUAACAUACGGUUUGGAUCAGUAUAACGCGCAUUAGCAACUUUAGUUAUUGGCAAUCUACAUUUGUAGACCCAUUUAAAAAUAAGUAUGUAUAAUUUCAUCUAAUAACAAUUUUUUCUGACAUGAAUAUGGGGUUAAGGUUAUGUUUGCUAAAUUUAUUCUUAAAUUUCCUCAUUCUAGGUUGUUUAUUAUUUCCUUGAAUAACAUCAACUGUGCUUCUAACAUGAGUAAUCUCAGUUGAAAAUAAAUUAAGGCCACUUUUAACAACUAAAUUAUAAACAUGACAUGUGCACCUAGCAUGAAAAUUUUCGUGAAGUGGUGAUUGCAAAGGCAGUCUUAAUAUUAAAAUUGCGGCAUUAUUGUUAGAAGCAUUAUCAAAGACAUACACACUUCGCAAAUAGUAGUACUUAUAAAUAAGCUGUAUGACUUUGAUAUUCAUCAUAUUUAAAAGAGAUAAUAUGUUUUUGCACACAAUUAAUUAUUAUCUAUCCAAAGAAAAUGUCUCCCAUUUUGCAUCAUUUCCCAUAGAAAGCGUCUCUUCGGGUCCAAUAGGAGCAUAUGUUGCAAAGGCUUCUCAAAAAGCACAAACAUGGUGAGUGGCUGCAAAAUCAUUCCACCACUCCUUAUGAUUUUUCGCCAGGUUGCAUGCAGAAAGCAUAGCACACAAGUCAUCAACAUCUUCAUGCUUUUCAACCAUGUUUUCCUGACGCUUCUUCAUGUCUUUCUUCGGAGCACGGCACUCUAUAGAUCUGUGCCAGCUUUUCUACAAUUGUAAAAUUUUCGUUGAACCGCUUCUUUCUUGGGUUGCUUUUUAGUCCAGAAGUCUGCUUCCUUUUUCUCUUAUUUUGAGAAGUAUCCUCAAUAAUUUUGCUCCCGCUAUUUUUGAGUUUCUACGGCCUUUUUUUCAUUAGCUUUGCUGUCCUCUUCGAUUCCCAACCAAAAAAUUAUAUCUUCAAUCGACAUCUUCUUGCGUUUGUGUUUCAAGUAGUUUUUGAAGUCCUUCCACAAAGAAGAAAACUUCUCAAUCAUCAUUGCUACUUGAAAUACUUCAUUGAUGACAAGAUCUUCUAUGAAAAUUCUGUUAGUAAAUUAUAGAGAUUACUACUUUCAACAUCAGUAAUAAUUUGAUUUAUACCUUCAGCAAGAAGAUCGUGAAUAAUCACCUGCAAUUCCUGGACUUGGGUAAUAAUAGAUUUGGUAUCUACUAUUUUGUAGUCCAAAACUUGGAGGCAACAAAUUUCUUUAACCCAACAUUUUUAGGCUUGUAUUUCUUUUUGAGCAUAGUCCACAAUUCUUUUGACGUCUUCCGCCACUGUAGACAUUAUACAAAUCAUCCUCCAUCCUGCUAAGAACAUAAUUUUUGCACAGAAAAUCAAAAUGCUUUCACGCCUCAAUCACGAGAAAACUUCCAUUCCUUGAAGUUUCCUCGGGCAGAACAUGAACAUCUUCCUUGAUGAACUUCUACAGAUUUAUAGUAGUCAAGCAGAAGAAAAUUUCCUACUGCCACUGCUUGAAAUCUAACCCUAAAAAUUUUCCAGGUUUCUUCGCCGGUGCCAGUGCUAGUGCUCGGCUUGUCGACGCAUUGGCAGUCACCAUCGGAACAUCUUCAUUUCCCUUAUCAUUAGUCAUUUCUAUAAAAGAAUGACACAAGAAAAAAGUUAAAAUUCCGUAGAUUUUAACCUUCAACUGAGCACAAAACCACAAUGGUUUUAAUCUCCAAAAUAGUGAAUAUAAAACAAAUACAGAAUACAAAUUUAAUUUUUUAAGUUUGUUGAUAAACUGUAGUUGUAAAAUAAUUCUAUAGAAAAUAAAAUAACAUAAACAGAAAAUAUAAACAAAAUAGAGGAUAAUCCGAGCCCACAGAAUUCACAGUGUGUCUUUACGGAAUUUAAUCCUCUCCUAGUACCCAAGGUUAUGGAUUAUUUCCUCUUAUGAUAGAACGAUUUACACACUGGUGCAGUGGUACUUCAAAACCCCAGUGUUUCAGCGAACACAAAGUUCGAUAGCAAAUCACACUUACUGUCGCUUUCCUUGAAGUUAAAAUAAUGCAUAAGAAGGAGGAGAAAAUUGAAAAAAUCAUACAAAAAAUAUGAGAGAAUGGACUUAUAUUUAUAGCCAAUGUUAGGCUAAAAUCUGAAGUGGUGCAACUCUUUAGAAUGGUUAUUUAAGCAAAAUAACUAUAGCAUAAAUGCCAUAAUAUAAAUGGCUACUUACUCAACAAUAAAGAGGGAAGAUUGAAUAGGGUAGUUAAUUUUCUGUUACAAAAAAAAGAAAAUAAAAAAAUAGAAAUGCUUGGAUUUAAUAUUAAUAUUCUUGAAUUUAUUAAUAUUUUGUUAUUAAAACGGAUAUUUAAUAAUAUUUAUGUUAAUAUUAUGAUUAACAAACAAAUUUGGUCCAAAUGAUUAAUCAAUCAAUCAAUCAAUCAUUUGACCAAAUCCAAAUUCGAAACCAAAGUCGAGCCGAGCGAGCGAGUGACGACGGUAGUGAGAGGCUUGCCUUCUUCUCAACUCUUUAAAAGUUAGAAGAAGAGCAAUUGCUUAUAUACCCAUUAAAAACCUCUUCCUCUAUUAACAUGGGACAAUGGCCUUUCAUUAAGGAGGGAAUCUCAAAUGAAACUCAAAUAUUUCAUUUUCCCUCCAUUUCUUAUUCACCCUUUUUAAGCAUUGAUAUACUUAAAUACCCAAAAAUCCCACACAUGAAUGUGGAAUGGCUAUAUCAUGGAAAUAUGCAUAAAAUAUUGUGUGAUUCACAAGCAAGGAUUAAUUGCAUCUGGAUAAGUAGAUUUCCCUUUGAACUUGCCGUAGUGAACUUAUGUCGGAUAUACUCGGUCAAUCGAUAGAUUUGAUAUCUUUGAACCGUCAAACUUUGUUGUAUAUCUAGAUGACAUAAGUCAUACAACCAACCCUUAACCGUCUUUGUUUCUCGUUAUUGUGUUUGUUUCAGGCAUGAACACCGCCUGAUUUAAUAAGCGCGUAAAGAACUGGCCUUACAAAGUUCUCCUUGAAAUGGCUAACACUCCAAGCUUACAUAGGUGAUUCAUAAACGCAUAAUCCUGUAGAUACACUAAUAUACCCCGUAUCACAUUUAGAAAUCAUUAAAAACCUUAAUGCUUUAUCCCUAGUACUGAACUGAACUUUGUCUCAUCACGAGAAUGGACCAAAAUUUUAGUUGACAAUGUUAAUCGUCAUCAAUUGAUCUCUUUGAACCUAGUUCUUGGGAUUUCCAGUGUUCUAGAUAGAGUUACCGCCACAGUGACUUGUUCUCGUCCAUAGUCUCAUUCCCCUUGAUGAUUUUUCAAUUACCACUCUAGUUAGCCUUUUAUAAGUGGAUCCGACACACUAUCACUUGACUUUAUAUAAUCAAUCAUGAUAAUUCCUCUAGAGUAAUUGCCUAAUGGUUUUAUGUCUUAGUCGUAUAACGAGAUUUACCGUUAUACAUAAUGCUCCUAACCCUCCCAAUUGCCGAUUGACUAUCACAAUAUAUACAUAUUGGUAUCGAUGGUUUGGGCAAAAAUGGAAUGUCUUCCAAGAAAUUUCCGAGCCAUUCAACUUCUUCACCGGCUUUAUGUAAGGCUUGAAUUCAGCCUUCAUUGUAGAGGGGGCAAUACAAGUUUGUUUGGACGACUUUCAAGAUACCGCUCCUCCACUAAUAGUGAAUACAUAUCCACUUGUGGACUUCGAAUCAGCUGAAUUAGUGAUCCAAUUUUCAUCACAGUAUCCCUCAAUCACAAUAGUAUAUUUACUAUAGUGCAAAGCAAAGCCUUGGGCCUGUUCUAAAUAUCCCAAAACUCUUUUCAUUGUCAUCCAAUGAGAUUGACCUGGAUUGCUCGUGUAUCAGCUCAAUCUACUUAUAACAUAAGCUAUAUCUGGUCGUGUACAAUUCAUGACGUACAUUAAGCAUUCCAACACACGAGCAUAAUAAUUGUGAUAUGCUUUGCCUUUGUUCUUUUAUAAUGCGAGAUUCACGUCAAUUGGAGUCUUUGCAACUUUAAACCCUAAGUACUUGAAUUUUUCAAGUAUUGUUAUAAUGUAAUGACAUCGUAACAAUGCCAAACCAUUAGGAGUCUUAUAGAUCUCAAUUCCUAGAAUUAAAUCAGCAACUCUAAGUCUUUCAUAUCAAACUUGCUAUUUAGCAUACAUUUAGUAGCAUUUAUGUUGGCAAUGUCAUUACUUAUUAUCAGCAUAUCGUCCACAUAUAAACAAAUAAUGACUAAGUGAUUUGUAAUAUUUUAAAUGUACACACAUUUAUCACAUUCAUUAUCUUAAAACUAUUUGAUAACAUUGUUUGGCGAAAUUUUGUGUACCAUUGUUUGGGUGCUUGUUUUAGUCCGCAAAGGGAUUUAACAAGUCUGCAUACCUUCUUUUCAUUACCAGGAACCACAAACCCUUCAGGUUGUUUCAUGUAUAUUUCUUCCUCCAACUCUCCAUUUAAGAAGGUCGUCUUAAUAUCUAUUUGAUAAAUUUUAAGACCAUAUACUGCAGCUAAUGCUACUAACAUCCGUAUGGACAUAAUUCUUGUAACUGGAGAGUAUGUAUCAAAAAGUCAAGACCUUCUCGUUGUCUAUAUCCUUUGAUUACAAGUGUUGCGUUAAAUUUAUCAAUAAUGCCAUCAUCUUUUGUUUUUGACUUAAAGAUCUAUUUAGAUCUAAAGGUUUAUUUCCAAAAGGAAGAUCAACCAAUUUCCAUGUAUGGUUGUUCAUUACUGAUUCUAUUUUACUAUUGACUACCUCUAUUUAAAAGAAUGAUUCCGAAGAAGACAUAACUUCUUUAAAUAGAGGCUCAUUCUCCAAUAAGAAAGUCACAAAAUCUGCUCCAAAUGAAUUAGACGUUUUUCUUACAUUUACUACGACUUGGAUCCUCCUAAUUAAAUGUACUUUCUUUUGUUUCUUCCCGAGGUUGUUUACAUCCUUCACCAAUCGACUCACAUUCCUUUUUAUACAGAUAUAUCAAUUGACCAAAUUCGAAGCCGAAGCCAAGCGAGCGAUGAUGACGUGAGGCUUGCUUUCUUAUCAACUCUUUAUGAGUUAGAAGAAGAACAAUUGUUUAUAUACUCAUUAAAAACCUCUUCCUCUUUCAAUAUGGGACAAUGUCCCUUUAUCAAGGAGGGAAUCUCAAAUAAAACUCAAAUAUUUUAUUUUCCCUCCAUUUCUCAUUCACCCUUUUUUACGCGUUAAUAAACUUAAAAAUCCAACAUAGCUUUGAUUCGAAUGAUGUAUUUUUUAAAUUUUUUAUUAAAUAUGUAUAAUUAUUAAUUUACAAUCUAAUAUAAUAACUAUUAAAAUCCCAAAAUCAUAAGUUUAAAAUCCUGGCUCCAUCUCUAUUUAUUACUCCCUAUGUUCCAAUUUAUGUGAACAUAUUUUUCUUUUUGGUCUGUUUCAAAAUGAAUGAACUCUUUCUAAAUUUAGAAACAAUUUAGCUUGAACUUACAAUUCUAUCUUUAAUGAGAAACUUUUAUAACCAUACAAAUAUUUUGAGUCCCUUUUUAACUUGUUUAGGACCAUAAAUUUUAAAAAGUAUUUAUUUUUUCUUAAAAUUCAAGCACAAUCAAACAAAUUCACGUGAAUUGGAACGAAAUUUACAAGUCUGCUAAUAGGAUAACUACUUAAAAAGUGGAGGCAAAAAGUUAUUUUUAACCAUUGAGAGAUUGUACCAUUUUGAGGAUGUAUUCGCUUUCUUUCCAACAACACUUAAAUGUCCAAAAUUAAUACUCUUUUUUUUCCAAUUUAAUAGUAUUAUUAUUUAAAAAUAUUUUUUUCUAACUAUAUCUACAAAUAUAUAAGAAUUACAAAUAAUGUUUAUGUACAGUACGUCUAUGCUAUUUUUGUACACGCAGUAAAGUUUUUUUAAAACUUUUUGCGACAAUUUCCAAAAUACGCACGUACAUUAUCAUGUACGCUCAUGUUAUGAACCUUAAUAGUAAUUAGUAAUGGAGUUAUGAGUAAUUUCUUAGUAGUACAAAUAGAGUUGUGGGGUUAAUGAAUAAUUAAGGAAAAGGUACUCAUUUCUUAUACAUACAGCAAAGAAAGACAGCUGGAACAACAGUAGCGCAAUGCAGGUUACAGCUGGGAUUGUGAGCUGUAAUUGAUGGUGACGGCUGCCUAUCAUCUGCUCCCCAGUCUUCCUACACCUCUCUGUCCUUUGCCUUCUCUCAAUCUCCAGGUGGUAGCCUCAUCGCACUGCUUGCCUUGAAUGUAGUAGGAUUGUUGUCACUCUGUGCUGCAACAGAGUAAUGCUGUAUUCUGGCCGGACGGGUCUGAGUUUUGGCGGGCUGGAUUCUGACAAUCUUGUGCCCCAUGGUCUCAAAUAAUGAAAUUUGCCCAUUAUAGGUCUAAACUCACUUGAUUCCGGGUUAAAUAGAUCGGGCCCAUGGAUUUAUUAUAUAUAUAUAUAUAUAUAGCCUUAUAUAAUUUCUUAUAAAUAUAUUAUAAAUUGUAAGUUAAAUUUUUUAAAGAGUCAAAUUUAAACAAACAAAAAAAUUACAAAGAGAUAUUUAAGGGAAUACCUUAUAAUUUUUAUUAUGACGACAUUAACAAAAAUGACAAUAUCUUUUUUAGUCUUCCUUCCCGCAAUGGAGUGAGCACAACAAGGUACUAAUAUCACCAUUAAAAAGAAAAAAAACUAAUGAAAAUGUGCCAAAAUACAAGUUACAUAUUAGUGUACGUAUUAUCUCUAAUAAAUUUCAUAAAUCCUUCAAGAUUUAGAGAAAUUUCCGUUGGUGGUGACAGAAAAAAAGCUUGUUCAUCACCGCUUUCGGGUGAAGCAACAUCCUCCGCAAGUUCCUCUAACAUUUCUUCAUAAGUUUCGUCUAUCUCUGGUUGUGAUUCAGCAAGUCCAAAUUUUUUUCUUUCCGAACGGAUCCAAUCUCUAUAGAAUACUGAUUUUUCCAAGCUCUCCCUCAUAGACGCUAUAUGAUCACCUGUUUGAAGCCUCGCUUGAGUGAAAGUGUUCUCUGAUGCCACUAUUGAAGCUUGAACAUAUAAAAUAUCUCGAGCCAUUCUUUCUUUGUCCUUCCACCAUUCCAAAAGAUCAAAGGUGUCGCCUGGAUUCUCCUUUUCAAGGACAUGCGACAAGUAAAACUGAAGCUCAUUUAGAUGUGAAGUAUCAUCAAUAUUAUCACCUUGAGAGCCCUUGAAAUCUGUCCAAGAAUGAAGUGCUUUUAGGACCAUAUUUCUUUUUAGAUGAUUGCGAACUAGAUGAAGUAGGAGUUGGAACAUUCGGUCUAGCAUGAUCUAACGAUUGUUGAUAAGCAUUAUAAAUUGUUUGAAGGUUUAUUUUAGUUAAGGCUUUUGCAUCUGUAAGUAUAGCUAAUUCCUCAUUUGAAAGAUCUAAAGCCCUAUAAAUAUUUGAAUACAAAAAAUGAGGACCUUCUAAUUUCAUGGUCGGAUUUAACAUGGCAGCAACACCAAAAAUAGGGGAGAUAAGGAAAAAUAUUUUUUAAACUUUUCUUUCACUGCAUUUAUAGCAAGUUGAUAAAUUACCUCACCCUCUGAAAAUUGAACAAAUAAAUUACAUAGUGAUGCAAUAUACACUAUACAAUUUGAAAUAGUAGGAUAAUAUUGCCUAGACAAUUCAUUUAUAGCAAUAUGAAAUUGUUAUAAAAAAUCUAUAAGAAUUUUAACAUUAGUCCAAUCUUGAUUUAUAAGGAUUUCAUCAUCAUCCUCACUACCAGCACGAUCAUUUGUGCAACAACUAAACUUACGUACAUACAAUUCCAUCUAGUCGGAUAAGCUCUAGGAACCUUUCUUUCUCUGAGGUCAACUUCAUCAUAUUUUUUAAAAUAUUCUCUAAGUCUACUUCUACGAUUUGAAUAAAAAAGUCAAUUAAGAGCCAUUUUAACCUUUUCAAUUUUCAAAUUUAAAAUUUGCAUAGGAUCAUCGACAUUAAAUGGUAAAUAUGACAAAUACAUCUAAUAUGAAAAUAAUUACUAAAUGCAGGUUUUGGUGUUGUUGUAAGUAAUCCUAUAGCAUUAGUGUUAUUAGAAGCAUUAUCCAUAAAAAUUGAUAUUAUUUUAUCUCUAAUACAAAAAUAUUUGCAACUGUUUUAGCAGUAAGCUUACUUGUGUGACGUGAAUUAAUUAUUCUAUAUGCAAAAAUACGUUUUUGCAUUUUUCAUUCUUCAUCAAUCCAAUGAGUGGUAACAGUUAGAUAAUCACAAUCAUUACCACUUCUACCAAUAUCAGUAGUAAUAACAAUGUGGCAAUCAACAUGAUUAAAUAAAUAGCGCAAAUAUUGUUCAUAUUCAUAUUUGCAUUUAUAAAUAUCGCUCAUUACAGUUGCGCGAGCCCAUCAUUUAUAAGUAGGAUUAAAACUCUUCUAAUAUAUUGCACAAAAGGAGUGUUAGAAGGAAAACUAUAGAUUGAUCACAUAACAAUAAAUAUUUUUUUCCAAUUCUUCAUGAUCUUUAUUUGGAUCGUAAUAUAAAAUUCUACCGGUAACAAUGUUAAUUCCCGAUUGAACUAGAUUUAGCCCUGUACUAGGUUUAACCGUGGUAUCUGCACUUGUAACCUCUUGCGUAGAUUUCAUUUAAAGAUAUCUAGCUUUAUCAAUAGGGUGUUUCUGUAUGUGUCUAGUCAAACUACCCGUACCGUUACGGUCUCCAAUAAAUUUAGGAGCCAACAAAGACCCACGAGUUUUACACUUAACCUUAUUUUGUUCUCUUAGUUAAGUAAAACAGUUCCAAGCAAGUGAUGUUUCGGGGUGUUUAGAACAUUGUCUAUUAAAAGUAAGGGUUACUACAUGAGGGUCAGGCGGGGCAUCAAUUGGGUUAUUAACAGGACUAGUAGGUAUAUCAUCUAAACCCGGUUGCGUUACAUCUACCUCAUCAUUUUCAAAGAUAGUUUGAUUAGGAUAAAGAGCACUCAUAACUUCUUCAUUUAAUUGUUGACCUGGUGCAAUAUCAUGGAAAAUUGACUAUCGAAAAAUUAAAAAUAAGGGUUAUCACUAUCAAGAAUAACAUGUGGAUAAGGACGGGUAACAGGUCUGGGUCGGGGAGCCGGGGGAAGAGUAGUAUCUUGGCGACUAGAUUCACCAAUUUUAGAUUUUUUCUUACCACCAAAUAUGUUUUCAAAGAAAAUGCUAUAUUAAUUAUAAUUAUGCAAACUAAAACAAACAAAAUUAUAAUAUUAAACUUAAGAAUUGGAGAGAGUUUAUUGAAUUAAAGAACAACUUCUUAAAAAUUGAAUAUCGUUGAAAACUUGAAUACUUCAAUUACCAGCUUUAUAAUUUUUUACAAAAUUGCAAUAAUAAAGUAAGCAAUUAUAGAAGAAAAUUAGAGAGAGAUUGAGAGAGAUUGAUGAAUUUGUGAGUAAAAAUGAAAGAAUAAGGGAGUAUUUAUAGUUGAGAAUCGGAAAAAAGUAUAAUUAUAAAAAUUUGGGGUUAAAACAAAGUUUGGAGGCCAAAUAACUAUUUUUGAAAGUGCCAAACGGCUAAAAAUACAAGCCAACGACUACAUUUUAAAAUUCUGACCGUUGGUCCUUUUUAAUUUUUUUUUUAAAAAAAAUAGUCGUUGGCUCAUUUGGUCUGGUUGAACCGGUCUAUGUCCGCCUGGCAAUCCCGAGCUCGGGGGCUUUUUGGUAAGGACCGGCCCACUGUGAGCUUUUGGACCGCUAGAGACCGGCCCGUUUGACCUGUUUGGCCCGCGGUCCCGGACUGAACCCGGCCCAAAAUAUAGGCUUACAACAGAGAGCGCUAAUAUAAUUUCUACUAAUAUUUGAUCUUCUUAAAAUGAAUAAGAUGCUAUCUAAAAGAACCUAUUUUGCUCCUAAUUUAAAAAAGAAGUUUUUUCUUUCCUAUACCAUAUAUGAAGCUUUAUUACCAAAUAUGUGCAUAUUUUGUAAAUUAUCUGACCUGUGAGUUCUCCCACAAUUUUUAUACCAUAAAUUCAAUGUACCCAGUUUGUAAAUAUUUUGUAGAUAAAUUGUAGAUUAUUUUGUAUUAUCGCAAUUCUCAUUCAAUUGUAGCGUAAUUUGUUUUUUUGACAUAAUUGCAUUUUUUUAGAAGAUUUAUAGAAGUUUUAGCCAUUUUUUAUUUUUAAAAACAGAAAAUAAAGCACCUACAAUCAGAAUACAAUUAAUCUAUAAUUUUUCUACAAUUUCUGCAAUAUGUCUUCUUCUUCUUCUUCUUCUUCUUCUUCUUCUGCCAGCUAAUGCUAAUAGAAGAUAAGAGAUUGUUGAAAGUAACUUAACAAGGUUGUACAACUUUGGUCCAUUAAUAUCAAGUCUAAAGGGUCAUGUAUCCAUAGUCAAAGUCCACUGUGAUCAAGCAUAGCUUGUGAAACUGGGAUCUUUUUUCCCACUUUAGCUCAAUUGCAUUGUGAACCUUCUUUGCUCAAUCGCUUUCCAUAGGCACAUGUCUUCAAGUCUUGUAGAACUUGAUGAAGAGGAGUGGAGAUGGAAUGAAAGAAGAAAUGAGAGAGCCUAAUUACCUCCUGACCAAGUAGGAAGGCUGAAAUUUAAGCCUCUCGAACUGCGUACCAAAAGCAACUCUAUUGUCGAAAAAAUAGGCUUGAUCAGAGCCCUGCUAGUUCGAGUCUGGCGAGUUGCUGAAAAGAAUGAAAACAAGCAAGAGAUAAAGAUCUAGUUAGACUUGCCAGGUAAAAAAAAAUGGCUGGAGAAUCAAUGCUAAUCCUCAAUCCUCAUCCAAUCCAACUCAAGCACCAGCAAAGGUAAGAAAGGCAAUUGCCCUACUCGAGACAUUGAAUAGUGUCAAUUAAUGUCAUGAGCUCCUUUUCAAGCAGCAAGAGGGCUUUUUAACAAAGAGAACGGCGCAUUCGAGAACAUCUGUAGGGGGAUAUCUAAACUAUUGUAUUCACCUCAGAGAAAGCACUUUACUGUUUGACCCGUAUCCGAGGGUCACUUCUCUUAAGAAAGGCCUUGGAUCGCGAAGACCCGAACCUUACCUGCUCCUUCUUCCUUGAUAGAAUAGCAAGCAGCGCCGCAAGGAACCCAGAGUCUGUGGGAGGCUUAUUACUUCAACUAGUCCCCACGGAUCUCUUAGUUGUUGAGAAGGUUGCCCUCCUUCUUCCUUGAUAGAAUAGCAAGCAGCGCCACAAGGAACCAGAGUCUGUGGGAGGCUUAUUACUUCAACUAGUUCCCACGGAUCUCUUAGUUGUUGAGAAGGUUGCCCAAAAGCGACAUAUAAGGCGAACCAGUCAAUAAACCAGAUAUAAAGAUGGCUACUGUCGCUUCACUACGUAUCUAAUUUCCUAAGCUUUUGGUGCUGCUAGAAGGCGUUCAACCGGCUAGAUCUACUGAAUCAACAGAAAGAUACGUAGGUUUGAGAAAGGAAGACUCACUAACUGAGAAACUCAUUUCAAGUCAAAUAAGAAUACGUAUCUCAGUUCCCCGAAAAACACGUUGAAACGUUAAUCCAGUAGCACGACGAACAAUUCCAGGAGCAGCAGUCGUUGGCAGGAAAGGGAUGGGCCAAUCGGUUCGGUUUUCGACGGCAAGCAUAUCCCUAUAACAAGCCAAGCAGCGGACAACAGAUGGUGCAGCGAGGGGUCUUGGGUAGUUCAAUAUUAAUAAGAGUAGUAAGGUCAGGAAUCCCGGUCUUUGAAUAUAUCAGCUAGCAGUAGUUGUAAUAGCCACACCAGUUAGUGAAAAUCAUGAAAACUGUGACCUUGUUAGGUGUGGGGCUUUAGUCAAAGUAGCAAUAGCAAGCGGUAGCCCCGGUCAGGUAGUUAGGGAAUGAGCAGUAGUCCAAGUGAUAAGGUGAGGUAAUAAAGCAGGUCAGACAGUAAUCAUAGGCAAGGAUCCCAAUCUUUGAAAAGAAUCAAUAAAGGCGAAAGGUAAGUAGUCGUAGCUGCACAAGAAGCGGUAGAGAUAGGGGGGGUAAGGUGCAAGCAUAUAGGUCAGAAGACGGGUUAGAGCAGGAAGUGGUAGUCCGGUAAAAGCAAUAAGAGUAUUGAGGCCAUCGGUGUUUUCAUUGGUCAGCAAGAGUAGGUCUGCCGAAUUUCAAGUAAUACGUAAUGAGAAAAGAUACGUCUAUUUGAGUGAAUGAGUUGAUAAACGGAGCGAAGCAGAUCCUAUGAGUGAAAGCUAGAAAUUCUUAGACUUGUUAAUGCGCUGACCUGUUCAUACUAUCAAAAUAGGUUCGAGAUUCACUCUAUCACCAGGUACCCCAUCCGGCCGGCUUAGACUGAGGGUAAGACGAGAUCCUACGUUUUGUAUCUUUAGCAUCCCAAUUACGUCCAGCCUUACUAUAAAGAAUAAAGAUAGACCCUGGGAACUUCCAAGGCCAAGACGUAGUAGAUUUGUCGCCUUUCUCAUAUCUUUGAUACAAGGACCAAGUUACGACAACAGAUGCGGAUGAAAUGAGAACUGCUGCGCUUACGCCUUUUGAUUAGACAACUCCUAGUGCCAAGCUAACUAACUAGGAUUAAAUGAAAUGAGAACUGCUGCAUUAGAAAACUCCUAGUGCCAAGCUAACUAACUAGGAUUCGUUAAAAGAGAAUUCGAAUUGGGUAUACCUUUUUUCUAGCUAAGAUGAAUGCUAAUCAACGGGAAGGGAGAGUUCAAAGAACUGGGUCACGUCUUCGCCCCUUGGCUACGAAACUAGGCUUUGAUCCGCAUCGAGAAAGAAUGGGAAUGGGGUAGUCAAUGUCGGCCUAUGCAAUGGUACACGAGUGCCGACGGUUCGAAAGAAAGAAUUCUUCUCUAAACUAUAAUAGAAAGCAGCCUUCCUCAACUAUACGAUACCAAUUUCUGAAGCUAUAGUGGAUCCACUUCUUAAAGAUUUAUUAUACCAUACCAGCAAACUCAAAUUCUUCCACUUGAACUGUUCUCCUUUUAAGAUAGGAGUUUCGACUUUUCUUCACAAUUGGGGUAAGAUCUUCUAGAGCUAGGGAAUAAGGAAUAAGUUUCACAUAGUGAGACGAAAUGAGUUUCAAAUGAGCGAAGCAGCUCAUUUGAAACGAAUCCCUGAAAAGAUCUCAUGCCAAUAUUCUCAAAGUUCACUAGUAUUAAGAAGAAAGAGGGUCGAUUGCGUUUCGAAGGCAAGCUCCCCUCAAUGGUACAUGUUUGCGAAGGCAGAGAGAAAGUUGCAAUUUCUCUUGCUCGACUCUUCAUGGCACGGUUGGCCGGGAAUGAGAACAAAAGGAGUAAGAAGAAACUGGCUAAGAUUCAUAGCAACCAGUUCAAGCUUACGGGUGGAAGAAGAAGCUAUUCCCGCAUUCAUGUUGAUACAGAAAUCAGACGAGAAGGCCCAUCUCUUUACUAGAAUCCGAUGUGAUAGAACUUAAUAGAAUAUCAUCCCCGGUGAAAUAGUUGAUGAUUUAUUGAUUAUUUAUUCGAUAAGCGGCUCUCUUUAAGAGAUAGGAAUAACUCACUUUUGUUUUGAGUUCUGAAAAGAGGAAAAGAACAUAGUUCUGCAAAGAAGAACGGAGUGGAAUCCGUCCAGUGAGUAACUCGAGCAAAGGGAGUACGGCCAAACCCCCAAUGCGGAAGUGACUAUCCCAAAGGGGGAAAAUUGGCAUCUUGUUCAGAUAAAUAAAUAAACCAACAAAAGGGGAGAAGUUGGAUCAGAAACUUAUUACAUGCCAGCGCUACUGCUCGAGGUCAACGGUAAGUGGACGAGAACCAGUAGAUAAUUCCACAUGUAGAAUGGAAAGACCUGGGCUGCUAGUGAGUGCAAUGGGGAUAGUUUUCUCUAUUCAUAGUAGGUACGGCGAACGUAACCACCCCUAAAGGAAGAAAGGAAGGUUGAAAUAGUUGUAUGGUGACUAGCUUAGUCGCUUUAAUUGACUUGAAAAGCUUAAGUUGACUACCACUUCGACCCCAUCGGCGAAUAAGAUCUCUUCUACUUUUCGUUUAGUUGUUCCCUUAUCAACUAACUAUUCACCAUCACGAUCGAUGAAGAUAAAAGGAGGCUUUCACUCGUACUCGUUAAGAGCCAAACAAGCUUUCUUUUUUAAGAUGGAAACCACUGAAGGGGGCGCAACCAACAAAAUAUUUGGUUUGAUUCUCAGGCCGGAGUCAAGACAGAGAUCGAACCCCUAAUAUGACAUUGAACUUCUGGGUAUAAAAUACUAUUUGAAAGACGGAUUUUCUCGAGUUAGGAGCCCCAUCCCUUUUUUUGGGUAUAAAAUACUAUUUGAAAGACUGAUUUUCUCAAGUUAGGAGCCCCAUCCCUUCCUUAUUCUUAUAUAUCUAUUCUUUCUUGCUACUUCCAAGUAUCUCUAGGGAAGACGAUUCUAGGCGAUCCAUCAAUAAACCUGGGGAAGAGGCUAUUCAAUCCGCCAUGGAAGGUAGAACGAAAAGGAUUCUUGCAGGCUUUGUCUUCCAUGCGCCUUCUCUAUCUAUAGGUAGACUUCACACCCCGGGAAUUGAAAAUAGGAUUUCGAAAUGGCUUGUCUCAACAAGAGGUAUUGUCGUAGACAAAGAAAAGUAUACCCUGGCACUGGGCGUUCCCAAACGGGUAAAUUCAAUAGAAUAGACGCCUGUUGGCAUUCCAGCCUUCCUUCCUGUUGUAGACAAAGAAAUGUAUACCUUGGCACUGGGCGUCCCCAAACGGGUAAAUUCAAUAGAAUAGACGCCUGUUGGCAUUCCAGCCUUCCUUCUCCUUUCAAAUCAAUGUUGGGUCAGAUCCGAAUACAUGCGAAGGUUUAGAAGCCUUGGACACCAAGAAGUCUCAAUCAAGAGAAUAGAAAGGCGGGGGGCUCAUCUGCACAGAGGAAAUAGGUUCCUAAAGCCCUCCGAUCGAGCUUUCUUAUGCUUAUGACAGGCAUUCUCGGGGACACCUACUAAAAGGAGUCUAUUGGGGGAGAUCCAGCCAGAAAGACUUAUUGGAUUGGUUACGUAUUUAAAGAAGAGCCUUAUAUAUUACUAUAUUACGUGCGAGUGAGGUCUUUCCCAAAACAAAUAGUGGGAUUUCCUCAACCUUCCUGACUUUUUCCCGAAUGGACAUACUAAAAGGAGUCUAUUGUGGGAGAUCCAGCCAGAAAGACUUAUUGGAUUGGUAACGUAUUUAAAGAAGAGCCUUAUAUAUUACUAUUUUACGUGCGAGUGAGUUCUUUCCCAAAACAAAUAGUGGGAUUUCCUCAACCUUCCUGACUUUUUCCCGAAUGAGUUGAACUUAUAAGGAUGAAGGAUUCGUUUCACUAUACUGUAUCCUCUAUUAUAAUAGGAGGUUUAAGAAGGAAAUCACCCUAUCUCUGGUGAGGUGACUUAGUCGAGAUCGCUAAGUGAAAUCGAUCUGGAAGUGGCUACCAAUACAAACAAAGGAAUUUCUUUCCUUUCUUUUUUCUUUGUAGUUCACUUGUUUUCUUUCAAGGUGGAUUUGAUGUACGAACGUCAUCCGAAACCUUUGAGGUUGGGGACUUCCCUCCCAUCUCUUCCUAGCUCUUCACCUUCUGAUAUUGUUGAUGGUGCGUGGGUAGCAUCCUUCUAGUCUUUCCCUUUCUUGGGUGCUUCAACUCAAGUUCACUAGGGUUACGCAAAAGCCUGCCAAAGAUCCUCCGGCUCUGACAGAAUAAUAUUCUUCACACAUGCUCUUUGAACAAUUUUGGGAAGAAACGAAUAACAUUUAGUUUCUAAUUCUAAAGUAGAAAGGGAAAAACAGCAAUUAUACUUGACUUGAUUGACGCGACGGCAUCUUAACUUGCGAUGCGAUCAAUUAGACCGGUGUGCGAAAGCAAGCAAAAAAAAUCAUAAGACAAGGAUCAACAUAUGUGAAAUGGCUAACCUUACCUAAAUACCUAAAUUACAUAAAUGAUAAGUGUAGUGCCUGUAGUCCUAUCCUCGUGAGCCCCGAGAUUGAGCUCAGUGGUAGGAUGGAAGUAAAGGCAGGGGAGUUGAAUCUCUAACAAUUCUACUUCAGAAGUGUUAUUGAAAUCUUGAGAGCGCAUAGCGGUUUUACGAGACGAUUUUGAUGUGUUAUAAUAAUAAUGACUGGGGAGAACCUUGAACACUUCAUCCCGUCCCGAGCUAAGGGCUAGGCGCGGACGAGAUGAUUUUUAUGUGUUAUAAUAAUAAUGACUCGGGAGAACCUUAAACACUUCCUCCCAUCCCGAGCUAAGGGCUAGGCGAGGGACACCCUCCAAAACCCGAAGUCCGUGUUGCAAGAAGCAUGCCGGUAAGCAGGUGGGACCCAUGACUAGGUCUGAAAUACCGAUUCCAGGCGAGUAUCUAAAGCUGUUACAGCAGUAGCUGUUGUUCACUGAAGUGCUACCGUCCUGAUGACUUCUACUAUUAGAAUGAAUGAGUUGAACUAUGUUCAACGAAUCCCUUCGCGCAAGCUUUACCCGACCGGUAAGGUCUUUAGUACCAUAGACUGAUGAUUAGCCAUCAAGCCAGCGACUAGGCCCCAAGGUCGGGGACGCCGAGACCUUUGCUUAAGUAAUGAUAUGUUUAGUUAAUCCUUUCAAGGGCUAGCUGGAUCCGAAGCGUGCCAAGACAUUUGCUUAAGUAAUGAUAUGUUUAGUUAAUCCUUUAAAGGGCUAUUUGGAUCCGAAGCGGCUUGGCUAGAACAACCACGAUCAAAGUGAUUGGUCUCUAUCUUCAUUGCUCAGGACGAAACUCUGCCUCACUUCGAUCGCCUCGGAUUGAAGGAUUCGGCCGCGUAGCCCUCAUUUUGGAAUAAAAGGAAGAAGAACUCUACUAUUCCACGCUCUUCCGAAAAUGGUCUUGACACCACAACGAAGUUUUUGAGUAUACUAAGGAUUACCCAUAUCGAGAAUGGGCCCGCCCUGGUACCGUUCUCUACUUCCGCUCUAAUAGAUUGAUUCUUUUUUUCACUUAGAUUUUUUUUAUCGCAGCAAAUAAGACUUGAAGCGGAUUCUCUACCUAGAAUUUUUCUAAUACUUCAGUAGACUCAUUUCAUGCUACGAAACUCUGCCUCACUUCAAUCGCCUUGAAUUGAAGGAUUCGGCCACGUAGCCCUCAUUUUGGAAUAAAAGGAAGAAGAACUCUACUAUUCCACGCUCUUCCAAAAAUGGUCUUGACACCACAACGAAGUUUUUCAGUAUACUAAGGAUUACCCAUAUCGAGAAUGGGCCCGCCCUGGUACCGUUCUCUACUUCCGCUCUAAUAGAAACUUAGAUUUUUUUAUCGCAACAAAUAUGACUUGAAGUGGAUUCUCUACCUAGAAUUUUUCUAAUACUUCAGUAGACUCAUUUCAUGCCCUUAUCGAAUUCNNNNNNNNNNNNNNNNNNNNNNNNNNNNNNNNNNNNNNNNNNNNNNNNNNNNNNNNNNNNNNNNNNNNNNNNNNNNNNNNNNNNNNNNNNNNNNNNNNNNNNNNNNNNNNNNNNNNNNNNNNNNNNNNNNNNNNNNNNNNNNNNNNNNNNNNNNNNNNNNNNNNNNNNNNNNNNNNNNNNNNNNNNNNNNNNNNNNNNNNNNNNNNNNNNNNNNNNNNNNNNNNNNNNNNNNNNNNNNNNNNNNNNNNNNNNNNNNNNNNNNNNNNNNNNNNNNNNNNNNNNNNNNNNNNNNNNNNNNNNNAAUGAGCGAAUUGUAUGAAAUGAGUUGAACUAUGUUCAAUGAAUCCUCAGAUUCCUUAUUCCUAUGAUACGUAUCUUUCUCUGCAGAUGAAGCAGGCGACGGGUAAAUGCUUUUUUGUGAGUUCAUACCAGGAUCCAGGGAAAGGCUUUUUGAUCACCCCGCAAAAGGCGCAUGGGUUGACUUCUAUGAGUUAGCUGGUGAGAAGGAAAUACUAGUGCUUAGAAAUCCGGCUCACAUUGAAAGAGAAGAGAGCUCCGUGACUUCCGGUGCAGAUGAAUAAACCAGUAUUCUUGCUACUACGGGGAAAGAAGUUGAAUUUGCUAAAAAAGAAGAUUCCCGGCUCUCGGCUCUCUCUUUCCAGAUAUAUGAAUGUUUUUUGGUACGAUUUCCGGGUGGGAAGAAAGUGAUUGCCAGCUCUUUGAAAGAAAUAAGUUGUUCAAGCAUAUCCUUAUCUCUAACAAGAGAAAUUAGUUCACUACCUGUCCUCCAAUCUCUUGGGCGCUUUGUUUCCCUUUCAUACUCAUUCCGUACGAAUGGGCCCCCUCAGUAAUGAAAGGGGUCGGAACUCAUCACAUUACUGGGUAGAUCAGUUGGGGGAUAAUCGAGGCCAGUAGUGCUCCAGCGAUGGCGAUUCUAACCCCAGCCCCCUUAGUAAUGAAAGGGGUCAGAACUCAUCACAUUACUAGGUAGAUCAGUUGGGGGAUAAUCGAGGCCAGUAGUGCUCCAGCGAUAGCGAUUCUAACCCCUUUCCUGGUAGUAGAGAGAUAGAUCCACAUAAGCAAGCCGUGCUGGUGGGGAAUACCCGCUAAGUAACUCGAAACUGGUAACUAUAGCCCAACGCUGUGAAGCUCGCCUACCCGGGUCAAUUAUGGGCGCCCCCCUACUACUAGUGGGUGCCUCCGGUUCGAGACAGGAAAAAGAAACUCCUCCGCAAAGGGUGGAGAGAAUUGAGUUGGUCAUCUAAGCUCACCCAGAGAAACUUCGUUAGAGUGGAAAAACAUAGAAAGACUGCUGCCUUGCUUCCAACCGCAUCUCAUGUAAUGUUAGUGUUCAUUGUCACUGAACACUAACCUGCCUUCAGCCCAAUAGAAUUCCCCUCCAUUUUCACACCAACAGUAAAGUUGCCUUAGUCACAUUAAGGGUUACUGUCAAUUCCACAAACAUCUUAUGAGAAAAGGUUAUUUUCACCAUCACCAUACCAACUCCUGCUGCCUUUUUUUCCGGUAUUAAGUAAGUAGUAAGUAAGUGAAGUGGUGAAUUGGCCAUUGGAAAGGAGGAAUAGGGCUCAUUUCACGUAUAUCUAUUUAUUCUACUUUUCUUUUUUUUUUAAGGCAAACCUUUAUGUCAAAGCAACGGUUCUCUCUAACCUUCUCUUACUCGCCUUACUUGAAACCUGUCCAUUUUUCGUACUAAAAACUUCUCACCUCUGUGCCUUCUGUACUUCUCGGCUCAAGCAAGAGCCACAGUGACUGGAACAAGAGUAAAGCCACCUUAAUCAGUCAAGCAAGCAAUUUGAAUAGGGAUUAUGAACAGGCUCUUACCCGUUCGAUUGAUUGUUCUAAAGUCGAAUUGAAAGGUAGGUUUUGUCACUGAUUAAAUGGAAAAACUUUAGGCUAUUAAAAGCCAAAACAAAGGAAAUUAAAACACUCUCUUCUUUCUUUUCUGUCGACAAUGAUGAAAACCAGAUCGAACUAUAAAGUAAUUUUACUUCAUUGUUCAAGCUUUUGAAUGCUUUCCUAUUCAAGACAUACUACCAAUUCCUUUGAAGCUACUACCACUACCGAAGCUGGCUUGUUUGUUUUGGUUACCGGUUGGGGUUUUGAAACCAGAGAAAGAAGAUCCGGUUGGACUUGCUAGCGAUGGGAGAUUAGUCACCGGAAGACUUGCUGGCUUGCUCCUUCAAAAUAAGGUGGCUAAGACGGAUGGCCUAUUCCAAUAGCUGGCAGACGGGCUAUUACGCCUAUUCAACAUAUUCCGAUUGUGAUACAUUCGCUAAGAUGGAUGGCCUAUUCCAAUAGCUGGUAGACAGGCUAUUACGCCUAUUCAACAUAUUCCGAUUGUGGUACAAUUCCAUUGCCUGCUCCUAUUCAUGUUCGUGCUUACUUGUAUGCCGAAACUUCAAGGUCAAUAAAGAGAAAGAAGGACUCCUAUCCGGGGUCUGAAACUCGGUCAGGUUGCUCCUACAAAAGCUCAUACGGGGUGUCUCCUACUCCUCUCCCGAUAUGGGUUAUUUCCUGACCGUUCCAUCGUGCUUGUUUCAGGAAGCACUUCGGUCACUCCAGUAAGUAUAUAGAUUAUUUGACAGACAACAAAGAGUGAUUUACCGACGAAAAGAGGUCAAGCCGAUUAGCAAGUCGACCAACUCUUAAGAUAAGACUGUUCCCCUUUCACUUCUUUAGUCAAUUCUAAUUGCUCAUUCUUAGUUGACCGUUCCGCUGGGGCUUCCUCUUUGAGUGGAAGCCCUGCGCUGCACUCAGUGUUGAAUUUCUUGAUCGACGAAACGAGUUAUUGCCAUUUUCUCAUCUCUGCCACCUUCAUUCUCUGAACAUGAUAGUUCUUCACUGGCCAGCACUCCAUCCCAUACAACAUGGCAGGUGUAACCACAGCUCUAUAAAAUUUCCCCUUGAGUUUCUGUGGGACUUUCUUGUCACACAGGACUCNNNNNNNNNNNNNNNNNNNNNNNNNNNNNNNNNNNNNNNNNNNNNNNNNNNNNNNNNNNNNNNNNNNNNNNNNNNNNNNNNNNNNNNNNNNNNNNNNNNNNNNNNNNNNNNNNNNNNNNNNNNNNNNNNNNNNNNNNNNNNNNNNNNNNNNNNNNNNNNNNNNNNNNNNNNNNGCUCCGUCCCCUGAAUCACCGACCCAAGAUAUCUGACACUGUCCCUCUUGGCGAUGGCCUGAGAUCCAAUUAUCACGUCCCAGCCUACUUCGCUCGGCUUUUGACGGAGGGCAGACUUUAGUUGACAUGGAAGCUUGAGUGCCACGUUCAAGCUCAAAAAAGCAGUGAAAGCAAGUCAAGCAGUGCCAGAUGCUGAUGAAAUAGCGGCUUAAACGGAUCCAUCUUCUUGAAUGGAACUCCUACCCGGAGGUGACAUCGCUAGCCUUUUGGCUUAGUUAAGACUGAUUUAUUCUGGUCACAUAGACUUGACCUGUUCCUGGGCAAGAGAGAGACAAGAGCUUCCUCUAUAAUAAGAGAAUUUCUUCCUAUUCUUUAUCAGCCGAGAGUUCAAGAGAUGAGGAUGAGGAUCCGGAUUACGGCUUAAACCGAUCCAUCUUAUUGAAUGGAACUCCUCCCUGGAGGCGACUUCGCUAGCCUCUUGGCUUAGUUAAGACUGAUUUGUUCUGGUCACAUUGACUUGACCUGUUCCUGGCCAGGAGAGAGACAAGAGCUUCCUCUAUAAUAAGAGAAUUUCUUCCUAUUCUUUAUCAGCCGAGAGUUCAAGAGAUGAGGAUGAGGAUCCGGAUUAACUUAUUGAAGAGGGAAUAGCAGGCGCAAGGGAAAUGCUUGCUUUAGGAGUGGUGAAAGUUUUCUUAGGAUUCUGCUGGAACUGUCUUAUCGAAAGCUAAAGGUAGUUCACCUAGGGGAAGAAUCCGACUAAGCUUAGCCAAGGUCAAGCCUUACCUUUAUUAACUUAUUGAAGAGGGAAUAUCAGGCGCAAGGGAAAUGCUUGCUUUAGGAAUGGUGAAAGUUUUCUUAGGAUUCUACUGGAACUGUCUUAUCGAAAGCUAAAGGUAGUUCACCUAGGGGAAGAAUCCGACUAAGCUUAGCCAAGGUCAAGCCUUACCUUCUCUUUCGCGUGAACGUGGACAAGUUAGCUUAGCAGGUUCUAUCGUCAAGAACGAACGGAAAGAUACGUAUCUCAGUUCUUCUCAAACCUACGUAUCUUUCCGUUCAACUCCUUCGGAUAUAGUUCGUAUCAAGAACGAACGGAAAGACAUAUAUCUCAGUUCUUCUCAAACCUACGUAUCUUUCCGUUCAACUCCUUCGGAUAUAGUUCGUAUACCAAGAUUGAGACCCAGAAGUAGAGAUAGAGGCAAAGGUUGCAGCAGGAGGAAGAGAGGGUUCAAUACCCGAUUUGAGAACCAGGUAACCUAGCUUCCCUUCGCUCACAUCCGAAUCCAUCAUUGUUGGAUUUACACCAGAGGCGGAGAUAGUUGGAUAGGCCCCCCAGAAGUUGCUUCAGCUAACAAAUUGGAAUACGUACAACUAGUAAAGCUACAGCUGCUCCUGCUACUAAAUCCACUUAAGCAAGGAAUGAGGAAUGGAGGGAAAAUCGCAGUCGUGUGAUCAUAGUUAAAAUAAAUCGGUAGAUGAAGAAUUCAUUGUCAAAGCAUUUAUAUGGACGUUGCCUGCCUGGGUUGAACCAAAAAUCCCUAUUCCGGAGUCAUCGAUAGAAUAUCCAGGGCCUAUUCCUUUUCAAUUUCAAGACAAAAAAUUGUUGCUUGCCUGGGUUGAACCAAAAAUACCUAUUCCGAUGUCAUCGAUAGAAUAUCCAGGGUCUAUUUCUUUUCAAUUUCAAGACAAAAAAUGAUUUGGUUUGAAAACCAAUAGCGCCCAUUCCAGUUCCAUAUCUGGAUCCAGAAUAAUGAAUAGAUAGGGGCGCUUCUCUGGAAGAAGAUAUAAUAGGGGAUCUUGAGGUUUACCAUAUGCAUGUACGAAUGAAGGUACAGAUCAACGAUCCAAUUGAUCUGGGACCCGAGGCAUAGCAAUCAGAGGCGUAGCGCAUAGUAUGUUGGAAGGUUCUUAUAAAACAACUAAAGGCCUUUCAUAGUCUCCCCGGGGGUGGAGCCUCUUCUAUGAGUACCUCGUGAGGGGGUGCGGUUAGAGGCGUAGAACAUAGUAUGUUGGAAGGUUCUUAUAAACAACUAAAAACCAUUCAUAGUCUCCCCAGGGGGUGGAGCCUCUUCUAUGAGUACCUCGUGAGGGGGUGCGGUGCCCCUUCUUUUCUUCAGGAAACCAAUUUCAGUUCUUCCUACCACCGGGAAAUUUGAGGCCGUUCGAUGGUCACAUGCCACUCACCAUCAUUAUGUAGAUGUUCCAUGGAGGGGCAGCCCGUUUCGGGUACCUUGGGAAUCUCCGUAACGAUUCCAACGGCCUAGCUAACCGUUUCCUCUUGAUCGGGACACCUGAUUGAAUCUAUUUCAGUCUUUUCCACUCUUGAACAUGAGUUUGGAAAUCUUCAUUCCGCAUAUCUCCUCGUCAUUUGGGUAUGAGCUUCUGGGCCUAAAUCGAUCCCAAAUGAAAGAGGUGAUGGAAGAUGAUAAGUUCAAACCGCUUCAACAAAUGAGCUUAGCUAGCUCAAUCAGUGCGCUGGAGUUCCGUUCUUUCAAUCUCUCCGCCAGGGAAGUGCUCUUCGGGCUGAGGUCCAAUUCAUCUCGUAGGCUUAUUGUAGAAUGCUCAAUCAGUGCGCUGGAGUUCCGUUCUUACAAUCUCUCCGCCAAGUAAGUGCUCUUCGGGCAGAGGUCCAAUUCAUCUUGUAGGCUUAUUGUAGAAAGGAAAUCUUCAAUCAAUCAUCAUCUACAUUAUAUAUAUAUAUAAGAGAUGAAGUGGGAAAGGCUUACCUCGGUACAGCGAGGGAGGAACAAAGCCUUCGCUCCAUUACCGAACCGCCUGUCUUAACUCAUUGAAUCAGUCAGCAAAUUUGUAAGUCCAUCAAUCUUUAGUGUAAUAGUCUCACCAACCCGUAGACUAGUCCAGUAGUGGGUGAGUAGAGUCUGUGCUUUGGUGGGCACUGGGCAUCCAGUAAGAAGAAGUAGCUCCGCCAACAGCUCACGCAAGCUGCUCAGGAAGAGCACAACUCUUGCUCGGGUAGGUGGUGCCGGUUUCUGGCAACUUGCUAAAUUCCACCAUGCAGCGGCCAUCGCCUACCCUAAUGCUUCUGCUCCAGACCUUACUGCUGCCUUCGAGCUUUCUUGCUUGCUAUGCGCCAGCUAGCGGAAUGCUUUACCGAAUGCGCCAACCAACCUCUGGUGUCGGGCCUACGUGUGCCAACUCCAACUAGGAAACUACUACCGCUUGGGCCUAAGCUCCUGAACCGGCAGGAAGAAGAAGCGCACCCGAACCCCCCUUCUUACUACCCUUUCAGAAGGUGCGGCAGAAGGCUUGAGAUUCUCGUAAGUAAUGUUCCAAAGCAUUGUUCCUUGAUCAAGUAAUUAAGAGAUCUCCUUGUUAAACCCUUAUUCAAUAUUUUAUUUUGCAUACAAACCAGAGGUGCGAAGCGAAGGUGCGGUCCAGCUGCAGGAAAGACCAAUCGCAGAGACAAAUUCAAAGAGAUUCCCGCCUCCGGGCGGGGGUUCCCCGCGGGGCUAUUACACGUAUUCCCCCCGGGGGUAGCUACAAGCAUAAACCGGUUUAUAAAAUUACGUAGAGUGAUCGCAGAAACUAUUCGCAAGCUUGCGCACACGUGGGAAAGUUGAAGCUUUCUGAGAAUGGAGAACCCCGGACGGCCGUGGAGGCCUGAAAACAAGACAGUCCGAAAAAAGGGCCUUCUGGUUUAUAAAAUUACGUGAGUGAUUGCAGAAACUAUUCGCAAGCUUGUGCACACGUGGGAAAGUUGAAGAUUUCUGAGAAUGGAGAACCCCGGACGACCGUGGAGGCCUGAAAACAAGACAGUCCGAAAAAAGGGCCUUCUGUCUACACGCUUUCGAGAAUAGAAUAGACGAGACGGCUGUGAUUGACAAAGUAGGGGGAGGUGAGUCUUGUCUCCUUUCACUUUGUCGUACUCGGAGGAGUGGUGACUAGAGAGUACAUGCCAGACGAAACGACGGUGGCUCCAUACGGGGGAUUGUCGGGUUCUUAUGGGUGCAUUAACUAGAAAUUGGUUGGAAUUGGAAGUAACUGUAAGCGAGGGAGGGAAAGGAAAAUCCAUACGGGGGAUUGUCGUGUUCUUAUGGGUGCAUUAACUAGAAUUUGGUUGGAAUUGGAAAUAACUGUAAGCGAGGGAGGGAAAGGAAAAGCAAAAAGUUUUAUGGCGUUCGUACUCCACAUCCGUGAAGCACUUCACUCGCUCAAGAAGACACAUAAAUUACUAGCUUUCCUUUCUUUCGGGGCCAUUUCCUUUGCCCUUUCUUCUUAGUCUGAGGCAUCUCCCUCUCGUCCUAUUGUGGUAAGUUAACGGUAAAGUCUUGGAAAUUAGGGUUUUGCAAUCAUUCCAAUCCCUCUAGUCUUGGCAGCUUCAUUAAGCCAUUCUGCUAUCAUUCUAGUUGUUAGUGAAGUGACUGCCUGAUGUUCGAUCGUGUAACUGGCACCGCAGCCAAUGAAUGUCCUCAACUCGGAGAAAGGGAGUAAGGUAAUUCAUCAUCAACCAAGGCAGGAAUCGUUAGAGUAUUGUAUUGCCCUCCAAUAGGACUAUACAGAGCAGCGGGAAGGUCGGAAUCUAGUGAAUCUGUCUUUAGAGUGUAGCUCCGCACCUUACCCAUCGUGUAAUGACAGUGUGCCUUCACCCCAUGAUCUUAGUGCUCCGAUUGCGCCUUCUGUAUCUGUAACUGUAAGUGCAUAUGUAUACACUAAUUUAUAUGUGGGCUCCGCUUCGGGGAAGACGAGUUGACUCCACAAAGCAGAAAAUUAUUGCCUCGCCAUAUGUAUACACUAAUUUAUAUAUGGGAUCUGCUUCGGGGAAGACGAGUUGACUCCACAAAGCAGAAAAUUAUUGACUCGGAUAUUCCAUUAACGGUUACCUAUCCCAGGAAAAGAAAAGAAAGGGCAAUCUGCUAGAGGCACCUUCCUAUUCCUUGCCGCAACGUAUCCCAGGUUGGCUACCUUUCCCUUGCGAAAUCCUAGGAGACUCUUGCUUGUAGGCGUAAGGAAGAUUUCUGAUUCACCGCUUGGACCUAAAAACAAUCUACUAAAGGUCUUCCGAUUCUGCUGCGGGUAUUUUAUUUUCUUGGAUCUUAUCGAUCUAUGCCCUUUUGGUCUAUGGGGUAUCCCCCUUUUCCGCUUUUCUUUCUUUCAUCUUCCUAAUUCCUCAGGUAAGCUUCAUGCCAGUCUGACUAAGGUAAGGGGGGAAGACCUCAUUUCGUCAUUCAUAUCUAUUCGUCUUAGCCCUGCUUCGGCGAUUCAAUCCGACAUUUCAUUUCCCCAUUCAUCAUUUGAUUUUUCGCAUCUAAGAGCUGAUCUUGAAAAAGGAGUACAGUGUGAUAACAAGCGAUUUGUGAUCAAUAAAAAGUACCACCGGAUUCUUUACCCAUCAGUCUUAGAUCCUCACCUUAGACAGUUUCAUUUGGUUAUGAAAGAAAGGCUUUAUCCCUAGCGUUAAGGUCUCUAUCAAGCACUCUUCUAAAGCUGUCUUCAAGCCCUCAUAUUCAACUCGCUGCCUCAUCCACAUAGCAUGAACUCGCUCGAAGUGCUUUCUUCUUCUAAAGCUGUCUUCAAACCCUCAAAUUCAGCUCGCUGCCUCAUCCACAUAGCAUGAACUCGCUCGAAGUUCUUUCUCCUACUAUGGUGGAGUUUACCAAGAACUCUAAACAUUAGGAGCACCGGUUCUAUUUCAGAAGAAGCAUGAUGGCAGUUUAAGGUUAUGCAUCGAUUAUAGAGCGCUGAACAAAAUGACCAUCAAGAACAAGUACCUUAUGUAUCUUAUUGCAGACCUUUUCGAUCAGUUGAGUGGAGCACGAUACUUCACGAAGUUUGAUUUGCGGUCGGGGUAUUAUCAAGUGCGUAUUGCCGAGGGUGAACAUAUUUCUUUUCUCUUGUGUUGGCUUUGCAAGUUCCUGCUGUGCAUCCCUGCCCGAUCAUUUUCAGGGUAUCAAGUGCGUAUUGUCGAGGGUGAACAUAUUUCUUUUCUCUUGUGUUGGCUUAGCAAGUUCCUGUUAUGCAUCCCUGCCCGAUCAUUUUAUUCUGAUUAUCUGCUUUAACCAAACUACUAGCUUCUGGAAGGAGGGUUAUAGACUCAUUCAGGUUGAGACGGACUCCCUGGUUUCUAUACAGAAGCUGCACAAUGGCUGGGCCUGAGGAUCCACAUUUCAAUAUUAUCCUGAGAAUCAGAGAGCUAAUGAGAAGGGAUUGGGGGUGUGAAUUGAGACAUAUUUGGAGGGAAGGCAAUGUGAAGAUGUGUUGGCUAAGCAAAGUCUCGGUCCUGCUCCUGGCUUAACCAUCCUACGUGAACCCCUACUGCAAUCAGACAAUGGAAAAAGAAUGAUAACUUAGGCGCGAUGACACCUAGAGUUGUUACAUUGAGUUCGAGCGUAAAGCCUUAACAUGUUCCAAAAAUGGAAGUAUAUAUGUCUCUCCCUCACGGAUAUUUUCCACAGGGGGAGAACUCAGUUUGCCGCCUGAAUCAGUCCCUUUAUGGACUUAAACAAGCAUCCCGAAAUGGGUUUGCAAAAUUUUCUUCUGCUUUACUGGAUGCUGGUUUUCUUCAAUCCCAAGUAGUCCCUUUUUACUCGUCGACGUGGAAACUAUUCUGUUUUUUAUUUUAGUAUAUAUUGAUUAAAUUUUAAUCAUUGGUAAUGAUAUUAAAUUCAACAUAUAAAACAGUUGAUAUUGAGAUAGAUGUGACGGAGGAAGAGUAUCGGGAGUGGUAUAUUCCCAGAGCCUUGAGAUCUUUCUUUUGCUAUUCUCCGGUGCCAUUGUGGAGAGAGAAUGGAUAUGCCAAUUACUACUCUGCGUAUCUGAUGUGUGCUUCGGAGUAUUGGAAUGCUGAUUAGAGGCGGGCGACGGUAGAAGGAGGUAAGAGCCGGGUUAGGCGCUCCAGCAGCUCUAGGAGUUCCCGUUCUCGCUUUUCUUGAUCUUCCAAGCUUGAAGCUCGCCUGCUUUGAGAGAGGAGUAGAUCUAGGUGUGAACCAGGAGAUUGCCAUUGUGGAGAGAGAAUAGAUUUGCCAAUUAAUACUCUGCGUAUCUGAUGUGUGCUUUGGAGUAUAGGAAUGCUGAUCAGAGGCGGGCAACGGUAGAAGGAGGUAAGAGCCGGGUUAGGCGCUCCAGCAGCUCUAGGAGUUCCCGUUCUCGCUUUUCUUGAUCUUCCAAGCUUGAAGCUCGCCUGCUUUGAGAGAGGAGAGACAGCCAUUUGAUGCAUGACAAUGGAGAAAAGUACUAUAUGCUUUAUGUUUCCUAUGCAGCUACUACAGCUAAUAAGCUAUGCAUGAUGAUAUGUGAUGCAUGCUUUUACUUGUGAAAAAUGGGGUUGCUCCCUCGGCAAAACUGGGAUAAAGUUGAGCCCAAAGAUCUCGAUUCAAGAUAAAUUCAUGAGGAAGUGGUAUCGCUAUAUGAUCUACUCCAGCGUUUAGAAAUUGGUUAAUCGGUAAAGAUACAUGUACUUGAUGCCCCGCCCNNNNNNNNNNNNNNNNNNNNNNNNNNNNNNNNNNNNNNNNNNNNNNNNNNNNNNNNNNNNNNNNNNNNNNNNNNNNNNNNNNNNNNNNNNNNNNNNNNNNNNNNNNNNNNNNNNNNNNNNNNNNNNAAGUCCUAGUAGCCCUGCCAAAUGGUGAUUCAGCAUAGAUUCUACAUCUUGAAACCAAGCCAAUUUUGGCGCCGCUUUAUGAUAAUGAAACCAACCGGCAAAAAGCAUUAAUGCUGCAAAAACCAAUGCCCCAAUUGUUGUACAAUAGAGUUGUAAUUCACUAGUUAUUCCAGAUGCUCGCCAAAUCUGAAAAAAACCAGAG
rnacentral:lncRNA from 1 species